CCCUAUUAACUUGAAUUAAUUAUUUUCUUAAUUAAACAAAUACUCAUGUUCAUCUUUAUAACCGCCCCAUUUUUUCCCUUAAAAAAAAUGCCACGUUGUUUUUUUUUAAGGAGCACUUUAUAUAUAUAUAUAUAUAUAAGGAAAUGUUUUAUAUUUUGCUAUAACUAACCUGCCAUACACCACACAAAAAAUAACUAGGCUAUUUUUUUUAAAGAAAAAAUAACUAGUCUAUUGUACGUUGUAAAAUUUUAUAUAUUCUAGCUCACAUUUUGUUUCCAUCUUUCUCUUAUUUUUGGGAUUCAUAAAGCAGAGAUCAAAAUUGUCGGUGAAUUUUUUUUUAGGAUUAAAGGUCGAAGAAUUUUUUUACGGAGACUAAGACCAAAAGUUUGAAUAUUUAUAGGGACCAAAAACAUAUUUAACUAUAAUUAAAAAUAUUAAAAAAUAAAUACAUUACAAAAAAAUGUGUGUGUCUAUAUGUAUAUUAAAAAAAAAAAACAUGUUAUUUUAUGUCAUUUUAUACUUAUCAGCCACUUCAACAUCUAAUUUUACCAAACACAUUAUUUUUAAUAAGCAAGCUUUUCAGCUAUAAGCUAUCAGUCAUCAGCUAUCAGCUAUCAACUAGCUUAUAGCUUAUUUUUACCAAAUAGAGCCUAAAUGUCCAACAUGUGGGGAAAAGGUUAAACCGAAACAACUAGUAAGGGUGUUUCUUCCAUCUUUCAACCGAAGGUAAUUCCAUAAUUUAUAAGUUGGUUUUAAAUAGUAUUAUGAUUUUCCCUAAAAAAAAAUAUUAUGAUUUAAAUAAAUUUAUAUUACAACUAAAUUGAUAUUACAUAUUCAAAAAAUUAAUAAAUUGAUUCUCUAAACUUAAUACGAACAUACUUUCAUUCAUAUUAAAAAGUAUUAGAAUGUGUAUCAAUUUUCAAUAGAUUCCUAAAGUUAUUUGAUGUCAUUUAACUCCUUAUUUUCAAUAAGUAGUGUUAGAAAAAGUUGUAACUACUAUAACCUUAUGUUGUUUCUCUUUUUCUAUACAAUAGGAUCAUCCAAGCAUUGUUGAGGAAAAGUAGGACUGAAUAAUACUUCAUUGUGCUACCUUCAAUAUUAAUAUCGUUGAUGGGUUCUUGUAUUUUUAAAUGUUCAUUGUAGUGCAUGUGUAUUGUCAUAUGUAUCAUUUUUCAUACCUUGUUUUUUUAUGCCAUUACUUAGAUAUGUUUGUUGGUACUUUGGAUGCACAAUACUUACUUUUUUAAUAAUGCAAUUGGUGUUUGGUCUAUCUUCACAAUAUCAUUCACAAUAAUGCCGUUGGUAUUGGCUAUUUAAAGAGAGAAUCACAAUAUCAUUCACACGAAGAUAUAUAUCUUCAUGUGAAUGAUAUCUAUCUUCACAUAUAUACGAAUGAUGUAAAUACGAUUUCGGUAAGGGUUUUGGAAAUUUAUAGCUCUCAAACUAUAUAUUUCAAAUUAUCUCUUCAUAUAUCAAAUCUCAAGCCACUCAAUCUUUGGCAGUUAAGAACCUUACUAAUUCGAGUAAGUUGAUCAUUCCAAUAUCUUUUAGUUGAUUUAGAGUUAUUAGUUAGUACAUGAUUCUAAUAUUAUUCAUUUGGUUGGUUGAUUUAUUGGAUCAUAUUGCUACAACCUAGAUUUUGUGUCGAAAAAAUCAACACGUUUGUAAAACUCAAGCCUACCGAAUUCAUAUAUUUAGUUCUGGAACCAUUCCGUUGACUUAGACUCGCAAUUUAACUUAUUCCGCAAAAUACGCGCCAAAACCCGUAAGCAUUUUUCCAGCAGAAAACCCAACUUCAAAAGCACUUUCCGAGUUCGUUUCUAGUCCGAAUCACACAAAACUUAUAUUCGAAUUGAAGGGAAUUAAGCGUAGAAUCCAAAUAUCCAAUAAUCACUUAAUUACUUGGUCAUAUUGUUGAAAUUUGAGUUUCUUGACACUAACCAGUAGAGGAUCAUCAUAUUCAGAAAUGGCUUGAAACUUUAGCACAUAUAAUUUACGUUGAUAAUCUAUUGAUCGAAGAAGCUCAUUGUAAAAUCAUCAACUAGAAUUGUGUUUUCGAACGUCGUGAAUGAUCUCUAUCAUCAUGUGCACGAAGAUAUCUAUUAUAUCUUAUGAGGUCUUAUAUAUCAAGCUUUAUAACAUCAAGUCUUGUCUCUUAUACAAGAUAAACCAAGUCUUAUAUAUUUUAGGAUCUCUCUCCUUCUCUCAUAAUAAGAAGCAACAAGUGAUUAAUUACCAACCAAGAAGGUAUAUGAAACUUCAAUUUCCUCUUGUGAACAACAAUUAUGCACUUGAAACCUUUAUCACCUUAGCAAGGCAAUUGUCUUUGGGCUUUGGUGAUGGUAAGCUAGUAAUAGGACAAUCUGGAUUUACUCGAUCAAGCCUACACGAAAUAGAUAAAUUAGUAAUACAACUUACAUUCCAUCUUGAUGGGUUAAAUUCAUCCGAGUUUGGAUAAUAUGUAGGAUCCAUGUGAAUAUAUAGCUCUUAACCAAGGUAACACUUUCCAUCCUUUCGGUAUUAUAUAACCUAAAAAUAUGGAGGAGAUGAAAGUUUUAUUUUUCUUUAAUGUCCAACAAUGACAAUAAUAAAUAGAAAUAUAAAUGUUGACAUUGAAUAGCCACAAACCAUUGAUGGUAACAUCUCUUUUUGCCUCCCGAAAACUUGCGAAGUUCAUACUCACAAGGCGUAACAUUUCUUUGAUUAUCUGUAUAUAAAUAAAUACAUUGCAUUUCUUUGAUGUUUUUAUUUUUAGAAAAUAUACUGAAGCUUUAAUGUAAGCAUAUAUUAACAUUUUUUUUUAAUGAAAGCAUAUACUUCAAAGUGAGGACACUUCAAGAUCUCAAGCCAACAUCACCAUUGUAUUAUAUUACCAGAAGUCCUUUAUGGAAAGCAAAACCAGGAAGGUUAAUGGGCAUAGAGAAUAGAGCACCGUAAAUUUCAGUAAAAGAAUCCCCUAUUUUUGUAAUGAUGUGUUGAUUGUAAGAGCCUAUGAGAAUAUCUACGAUGACCUGAAAGGAAAUAUUCUUCAUCUCUUUCAAAAACUCCACUUGGUGAUUCAUACUAGAAAUUUCCUCCAAAGAAUUUAUCACAAUGUCCUCCAUACAAGUUAGGUACAUUUCUAAAGUAUUGUGGCCCAUGGUAAGAACUGAGAUUAAGCGUUUCACACGCUUGUGUUCUUCUUGAGAUGAUCUCCAAAAGAAUUUACAUCUAGUCACUUCCAUAGUGGAUUUUGGAUAACCAAUCUUAAAAGUCUCAUCAUUUGUUAGGAUUUGCCUACACAUAUCAGAAUCACAGAUGAUGAUGCUUGGACUCCCAAACAAGUGCGACUUGUAGAUACCAGUUCUUCCAUACCUAAAACAUAUAAGCUAGUAAGUACAUUGGGAGUGUUUAAAUCCAACCUAAUCUAAAUAAAAACUGUAAACCGAUCCAAAAAAAAAAAAUGAACACCACGUACAAUCAAAUAUUAUUAAAUGUGUUUGAAUGUCACUUUGUGAAAAUCGUUUGGAUUGGAUGGGAUUUUGAAUUGAUUUUUCAAAAUCUAAUCAAACAGAACCGCAUACAUAUAUUUAAAUAGAUAUUUUCAUUUUUUAUAAGCAUGAUAUAUUAUAUUAAGAUAUUAAUAUUUUGCUUUUAAAUUCUUUUAAUAAAUCAUAUUAAAAGAUAAUCAAUCAUUGUUAUUCCUUACUAUUAAUUUUUAAUAAAUCAUAUGUUAUAUUUUGUAUUAAACUUAAUAUUUUACCAUAUUUUAAUAUUAUUAUUAAUAAAAAAAGUUACAAUUUGUAAUUUAUAUAUCAAAAAAUCGAUUUAAAUUAAUCCGCAUUAAUUGAAUCAAAUCGGAUCAUUUUUUUAAUUUUAAAAAUUAGUCAUAAAAUCUAACCGAACCAUGUAUAAUUUUAUCUUUAUAUUAGAUGAAUUUUUGCCUCAAAAUUGAUUCCAACUGCUCCACAAACACCUCCACAAGUAAUUAGAAAAUCUAAAUGUGCAUGUAAAUGUGUGUGUAUGAAGAAGAAGAAUUUCAAGGGGAGAAAAAGAAAGAGACCUGGAAAUAAGGUUGUUGAUGAAUGAAUCUAGUCUUGGAAGUGGGACGUUGAAGAGGGACUUCAAUAAAUAUAUCUAGUUGCAUGAGAAAGUUUUGGUAGGGCACAAAUUUAACACUUCAAUAUUGGGCACACACACAAAAGCAAGAAAAAGUUAAUAGAAAAUAAAAUUAUAAUAUAUCAAUUGAUUUGACUAAAUACUUUUUAUUUAAUUUUGUUAGUUUUAUGUGAGUAUGUGCCCAAAAUUGAGGUGUUGGGUAUCUGCCCAAGCAAGACUUUCUCCUAGAAACAUCAAUGAAAUUAACUAUAAAUAAUUAUGGAAAUAUCUCCUUAUUAAAGAAUUAAAUUUAAUUAAGAAAAAAUUUAGGUGUAUUUUCUUAUUUAAUUUUCAUCGGCAGUUAACUGCCGAAGUUUUUCUCGGUAGUUAACUACAUCGGUUCUAUUUUUCUCGGCAGUUAACUAUCGAAGGGUAUUUUUGUCUUUUAUAUGUGUUUUUCAGCCUUAUAACAUAUGUAUACGGCAAUUUUCCCGAAAUUAAGAGUAUUGUUGUUCAAACCAUUUGAGUUUAACAUGAUGUACCACACGAGCUAAGAUAAAGACAUAGAUGAAUCUAUUUGAAAUCAUUGCCAGAGCGUAUAUAUGGCAAACAUCAACGUUUGUAUUUCUCUAUAUUUUGCGGAGCAAAGUAAUUGUUGAGCAAUAUUGAAUGUAAUUAAUGAACUAAAUGGUAUAUGAUUAAGUGACCUUAAUUAAAAGAGAUUUAGAAAGGGUUUAAAGAGGUUAUGUGAUUUUUGUUACCCUAAUUGGUUAAUAUGUAUGCUUAUUUCUUAGUAAAUGAAAUUCUGUGCUUGUUGUGAAUUGCCUGAAAACCUUAAUAAGUAAGGCAAGGCAUGUUUGUGACAUGUGAUUUGUGGUUUUUGUUUGUGCUUAGUCUUGAAUAGGCACUAUUGUUAAGCUUUUAACUCUAUGUUUACAAGAGCCUCUAUCGAGGGAAGAAAGACAAUUAUAUAGGAUUGAUGAUCCUUUUAAGAGAAUUGGACUUCUAUUCAUUCUCGUUUGUUCAUUAAAGAGAGACACAAGUUGAUUCUAACAGGAGAGUUCCACGGUUAUGUUAUGUGUUGUUAUAAUAUAGGUAGGGUGUGACAAGCUUAAUGACAGGGAACACAAUGUGAUACUAAGGGGAAACUCAUAAGUGUGUUUGGUUUGGCUUCUUUCCACUAAGAAGCACUUCUACAACGCUUCAAAAGUGAAAAUUGAGUUUUCAAUCAUGUUUGGUUUGCCUUUUAAGAAUUGCUUCUAUCCUCCAAAAGCAAUUCUGGAUGAAGGUAUAAUUCCUAACUUUUGAGUUAACUAGAAUCAAUUCUCCAUUAAAUUUUAUAUUUUAGUUAUUACAACCCAUUAUUUUCCUUUAUUGUCCUUUAUCAAUUUUUAUUUUUUUUUUGUAUUUAAUUUGAGGAACCAAAUUUAAUCAAAAAAUUUAACGAACCAAAUUAACCCCAUAAAAUAUUUAUGAAUCUGAGUUACCAAGUUUUGGGUUUUUUUUUUACUGUAUUUCCGUUCAGAUUUGUUGUAUGUAUUUUUUUUUAUGCUACGUUUUAUCAUUUUUGCCAACCAUCUCUAUUAUUAUUUUCUUUAAAAAAAAACCCUAUUACUUUUUAAAUUAAUAUAUAGAAAAAAUUAUUUAUUUACAUUAAAUAAUAUAUAUCUACAUUUAAUAUUGAUCUGCACAUACAUUCAACUAUUUUGUUUGUUUAUUUUUAUUUAGAUAUGUCCAUUUUAGUAAUUAUACAUUUAAAAGCAAUUUUGAUCAAAACUAUCCAAACGACAUUCAUUUUGUUUAAUCAAUUCUAUGUUAUUGUAUCCAAACAUAAAUCAAUUCUUUCAAAAUCAAUUCUGACAGAAUCAAUUCUAUUAGAAUCAAUUCUGUCAUAAUCAAUUUUAUCCAAAGCUGAACCAAACACACCCUAAGUCUCAUUAAAGAUAAAACUUGGUUGUCACGGGUCACUAAGCAACUUUUUUGUACUAUCUCCGGUCACAUUAGAAGUAAAUAUUGGUUUUUAAAUUCAUUAAAUGACUAAUGUAUCAUACAUCAAUUAUUAAAUAAAUCGAGUAAAUGGCCUCUGACUCUAUAUCUCGUUGUCACAAAGGUCACUAACUCAAGAUUAAAUACAAAUUAGUCCUUGUAUAUGCAUUUCCGUUAUUAGUUUAGGCUUUGACGUUAAAAACUUAUGUUAACUGAUGAGGUGGUGUGCAUGAGGUGUCACAUGGAUUAAAGUGAAAGUAGAAAAUGGUCAUUUUGAUCCUAGAACCAAAAAUCAAUAUCCUAAAAUUGAAUCUCAAAUUCUUAAAUUUUGAAUUUAAUCAUAAAUCCCUAAAUCUCAUCUAAUUAUCUCUUCUGUUCAAAAUCAAUUUCUUUUGUUUUUGUUGUUGUCAAUUCUUUGGAUUGUACUGAAUUCUAAUGUUUAUAAGAAAUCACCACAUUUUACUCCUCAAUUCCAAAAAAUUAUAAUUUUUUUUCCUUAUUCUACGGUGUAAGUGCAGUGAAGUUGAUUAAUAUAUUUCUACAUGCAUGUUUGAUAGAUGUGUUUUAGUAAAAAGUAAGUAAUGAUUGAAGCUAUUUUCAAUCAUGUUUAGUUAAGACAAAAUUUGAAGACAUUUUACAUGAGACAUGUUAUUAAUUAUAAUAGUCUACACCAUAUAAACUAAACUCCUUUGAUUGGCAAAAGGUUUAGAGUUUACUACGUUCCUUUCUUACCACAAAUCUUUCGUGAUUAACAACAACAAAAAAUAAAUUGAUUUUGAACAAAGAUGAAAUUAGAUAAGAUUUAGGGAUUUGAGAUUUAGGCCCGUUUGUUAUAGUUUUUUUUUUAUUUAAAAUAGAUUUUUUUAGUGUAAUAUGUUUUUGUUAUAAUUUUUUUAAUAAAGAAAUUUUUAAGGAAAGCUUCAAAUAAAAAAUUUAUUUGAAUAACUUAUUUUAAAAUGUCAUUCUAAUUAUUUCCUGAAUCUAUUACCUUGCUAGUCAUAAUAACCAUUUACUCUAAAUAAAUUUACAAAAACAAUAUUUAAAUAAAUAUGACUAGCGGGAAUACUUUUUACUUUUCAUACCACCACCCUAAAUAGAAUAUACAUGUAAGUCAAGCAAGCAAGUCAUGAUCUAAGAGUACAGUGCUACCAUGAGUCAGAAUUGUUUUUUGUGUGUAUUUAAAGAGGACUGCCAUGCAUCGUGAUUCUUUAUGAACCAAACCCAAAUUACCAAGUGAAAUUGGGAGUAUGCAUGAAUGUGUAACAUGUUAAGUGGAAUGUCUUCUUAAUUGCCUUGGAUCCAUUAUUUGUCAAUAAAUGUGGUCUGAUUUAAGAAAUUAUUUGUCUAGCAGUCCCUAAAAUACAGAUUAAUUCAUCCGUCUUAAAUUAUAUUUCGUUUUGAAAAGAAAAAAAAUUGUUUUGAAUUAUAAAUUGUUUUACAAUAUCAAUGUAUUAAUGUUAUUUUUUCUAUUAUACAAUUAAUUAUUUAUUACUAUCUAACUUUUUAAUUUUUAAUUUAUCUUUUCCAUAACAUUUAUUAACAACAAUUUUAUAAAACAUCUCAUAAUUACAUUUCUUUACAUGUGUAAAAUGCACAAAACAUCAUAUAAUUUGAGACGGAAACGCAGAGAUUUCCAUAAAACCGCAAUAAAAUUUUCACGACACUAAGGCUGAAUCCCAAAUCUUUUUCACCUACCAAGUUGACAUGUCUUAACUUUCUCACUCGUAGUUUCUUACUACUACUACAACUGCAACUACGGUCAAAGUUUACCACUUCCACCAUUUUAUUUAUUUGUAUUAAUAAAAGUAAAGAAUUAUUAAUUUAUUCAAAAUAUCUUUUAUUGAAAUUUAUGUCAUAAAAAUAAAAGAAAUUUUUAAAAAGUAUCCCCUUUCAUUUAUUUUUAUUAAAAUUUAUGUAGUAAAAAAUAUCGCUAUUUUCCUUUUAUGGUUAUAUAAAAUUAUUAACGAAAUAUUCAUUUUAAUUUAAAUUAAUGUUGAGAAAAUUUGUUGACUAUGCAAGGUAAUUAUUUUUUUAGAAGUAAAUUCUUUAAUCUCAAAUCAUAUUUUCCUUGUAUGCAAGAUCACAGAUAGAUAAAAUCACCACAUUCAUUCACAGUGGCGGAGCCAGAUACUUUUAGUAGUGGGGGUAACAAUUUAAUCUCUAAAGUAUCGCAUUAUUUUCAAAUUUAAUCUUUAAUAUGUAAAUAUAAUAAGUGAUCCGAUUAAAUUGAUUGAUUUCAUAUACUUUUAGAGCUAAAUUGAUGGAUUUCAGGUUUUAUUUAUUGACAAAAACAGAAAUUGAUUUAAUUUUUUUAGGCACAAACGGAUUUUACAUAGUUUAAGAAAUAAAUUCAAGAAUUAUCUUCUUGAAUUUUGAAUUACUACGGUCUUCUUUUCCUGGUUAAAAAAAAUUGUAAGACAAAAUAUAUAACAAAUUAAUAUUCAACAUUGCCAAUCCCUUCUAAUUUAAACUUUUAAGUCUUACCAUAAUAUAGUAUAAUAAUCAUCAUAUCAUAAAAUUAAAGGGGAUAAAACCAACAACAACUAAGAUGUCAAGGGUAAUGUAGUUGGUCAAACUUAAAUAUAAGUAAUUAUUUGUAAUUUUGUGUAGGUGUGAGUUAUGAUUAUACUAUAUAUUUAUAUACCGAAUGAAAAGAUAGUGGGGGCACCAGCCCACAUAUACCACUGAACGUCGCUCCGCCCCUGUUCAUUCAUCAUAAAAGGUGAAUUUUCAAUUGAUAUACUACUUAAAGAAAAAAAAAUCACACAUAAAAUCUCUUAAAAGUUAGGCCACCACACUUGCUUAAUGUGUCUAGGUCUUUUACACCCACACAUUUAUAAGUUGGUUAAAAAUAUAAUAAAUCAAUCGAAGAAUAUUUUAAUAGUUGAUAUAUAAAAAUUAAUUAUUAUAUAUAAUUUCUAGUUUAGGUGUAUCACAUCAAAGUAGUCAUAUAUCUUGUCAACGAAGAUAGUGCAUCGAAACAGGUAAAAGAGACAAACUGAAGGUGAGAAAAACACAAAUGGAGAUUGAAUUUUGUUGACUUUUUAUGAAAAUCUUAUUUUAAGUGUUUAAAUAAAACAAAAUAAGUCGAUAAUCAAAGAGAGAACAGAGACAACAUAAGUAAAUUAUCCUGUUUCACAUCACAAUUCGAGGUUAGUUCAGUCCCCUUACACUUUCAAUGGAUUUUUCACUAUAAUUACACAAAAUUACAAUUGCUCAAACACACAAGUUUUAGACUUCCUUGCCUCACAUAAGAAGACUUUUACAAUCAAAGUUUUACAAAAGAAUUUAUAUGUGUGUACACUUUGUAUGUACUUAGAGAGCGGUAAACCAGCUUAAGUUCAAGAAACACUAUGAAAUAAACGAAAGAGCGGUUGUUUAAAGAGUGCCAACACAUCAGAUUCUUCCUUAAAAAGCUUUGAUCAAAUUUGAAAACUUGCCUCAAAUGGAUUAUGUCGUUGAAUGGUACUAUAUGAGUUCUUUGCUUCUUAGGGAAUGAUAUGUUACAUUCUCUUUGUCAUUGAAGUUCUUUGUUUAUUUUUGCACAAGGUCAAAAGAAGACAAACAUACUAUCAGAACUUUAAAAGUGAUGUUCCUUUAGAAGAAGACAAAACUGGUUAAAGCUCAUGUGUCCUUUAGAACUUGUUCUCGUUAGAGUCUUCAAGACACCUUCCGAUCAUAACUUUGAUGUUAUGUUGACCUUUCUUCUAAUCAUCUUCUAAGUAUUAAGACAUUUCCGAUGCUUCUCUAGAGCAAGAAAUUGUUUUCCUUUGUGUUCAGAAUUUGAUGUAUCAGAACCAAAAACUUGACUUUGAAGUCAAAAUUUACUUAUACGGCCAUGCACAAUUGAACACACAUUAGAGUUUCAAAUUAUUUUUUCAUACGUUAUUAUCAUUAAAACUUUAGAGACAUUGUUUUAAAACUCACUUUGGUUCAACACUAACAUCAUCAAACAUAUCUAGAACAAGCAACCAGAAAACAUAAAUUAAUUAUAGAUCACAAAAAUAACAUUCACAGUCCUAAUUAGCAACUGAAAAUUGAUUAACAACUAAAAAUAAGGUUACGACAUUUCAUUGGACUGGAUACCGAAUUUUAAAAAGAAAGUUUCAACAUUCACAUGCACAUUGCAAUCUUUCUUGGACAUGUCCGAUGAAACUUGAAGUGUGUUAUAAUUAGUCGAGUGACACGUUUUAACACUUCUAAACACAACGUGUGAUGUGAUUACAUGCAAUCACACACAUCAGAACGGUCUAAUAUUUAUCAUUAGAUCGUGAUCGGAGGGUUCAAAUGUGAACUUGCAUACAACCCAAAUCCACCUAUGGUUUACCAUAAAGCCACUAGGGUGGACUCCACUAUCAAUUUCCGAAAGUGAUUUUUCACUUUUCUCAAACACCAAACAACACCUUACACUACUACUAGUAGGUACGUAGACUCUCUUCAGUUUCUUUCUCACUCUCUAUAUUCUUUCUCCCUCUUUCUUCGCCGUGUAUCAAAUUCCAAUAAAUUCAUACCAUAAAAGCGUUUUUUCUUUCUCUUUCACUUUAUUCCCUUUUAGUAGAAUCCUUAUCACAAGUCACAACCGCGUAAGUGAUUACUGAUUAAGCGAUUUUUCUUCUUCUUAUUCUUACAGCAUUAUUCUCUCUUCUCUAAUUCCUCUGUUUUUUUCUUCUCUUUUUCCUUAUUAAACCCUUCACUCAAAAUCAAAACCCAUUUUCAUAUCAACAAAAAGAUAAGAUUUUUACAACAAUUCUAACAAAAUUCAAAAUGGGUUUUGGAGUUUCCAUCAAUCUUCACCUUGUUUUGCUCUUUUCCAUGAUCUUUGUUUCUGCAUGGUCACAAGAUGAUGCUGCAAUGCAAAAGCUGAAAACUUCAAUCAAAUCAUCAAGCAGUAAUCUUGAUUGGUCAAACUCAGAUUAUUGCAAAUGGGAGAAAGUUACCUGUAAUGGAAAUCGUGUCACUGCAAUUCAAAUUGCAGAUACAAACAUUCAAGGUUCUUUACCAAAAGAAUUGAUGCAACUCACUGAGUUAACUCGGUUUGAAUGCAAUGGAAACAGUUUAUCUGGUGAUUUUCCUUACAUGCCAAUUUCACUUCAGCAUUUGUCUAUUGGUAACAACAAUUUCGCUUCGAUGCCGAGUGAUUUCUUCGCCAACAUGAGUAAUUUGAUUGAUGUGAGUAUUGGUUAUAACCCUUUUCCUCAAUGGCAAAUUCCUUCUAGUCUUAAGAAUUGUUUGGCCCUUCAGACAUUUUCUGCUAUAAAUGCUAGUUUUGUUGGUAUAAUCCCUGAAUUCUUUGGAAAAGAAACUUUUCCAGCUUUAACUGAUUUGUCUCUGUCUUUCAAUUCUCUUGAAGGGAAUUUGCCUAAUAGUUUAUCUGGUAGUUCUAUAUUGAAUCUUUGGGUAAAUGGUCAAAAGAGUAAUAAUAAACUCAAUGGCACACUUUCUGUUUUGCAAAAUAUGACAUCGUUGAAACAAAUUUGGGUUCAUGGUAAUUCGUUUACUGGUCCAAUACCUGAUUUAUCGAAUCAUGAUCAAUUGUUUGAUGUUAGUUUGAGAGAUAAUCAGUUAACCGGUGUUGUUCCACCGUCUUUAACUUCGCUUCAAAGUUUAACAGUUGUUAAUUUGACAAACAAUUAUCUUCAAGGGUCAGUUCCGAAGUUUCAAAAUAGUGUUCGUGUUGAUAAUGAUAUUGAUAGAGGGAUUAAUAGCUUUUGUACUAAGGUUGUUGGUCAACCAUGUAGUCCGGUUGUUAAUGCGUUGCUUUCGGUUGUUGAACCUUUUGGUUAUCCUCUUGAACUUGCUAAAAGCUGGAAAGGUAAUGACCCUUGUGGUGGUGAUAGUUGGAAAGGGAUUAUUUGUUCUGCUGGUAAUGUUUCAGUUAUCAACUUUCAAAACAUGGGUUUUUCUGGCAGUAUAUCUCCUAGUUUUGCUAGUCUUAGUUCUGUGACAAGGUUACUUCUUAGUAAUAAUCAUCUCACCGGCACUAUACCUAAGGAGCUUGCUAGUAUGCCGGCUUUGAAAGAGAUAGAUGUUUCGAGUAAUGCGUUGUAUGGUCAGAUACCAUUGUUUCGCGGAGAUGUUGUUGUUAAAACCAGUGGAAAUCCUGAUAUUGGAAAAGAUAAACCUCAUGACUCGCCCAACAGCCCUGGCUCUACUUCUGGAGGUAAAGAUAAGAAGAAAGUUAGUGUUGGAGUCAUUGUGGGGAUUGUGAUGGGAAUUGUUGGCUUUAUAAUUGCUGUAGGGGUUUUCGUAUUUAUUAUGUAUUGUAGAAGACAUAAUAAGCGUGAUGGCAAAAUUCAAACUCCGAAUGCGAUAGUGAUACAUCCUCAUCAUUCUGGAGAAGGAAAUGGUGUGAAAAUAAGUGUUGCAGCAGCUGAAAGUUCUGGUGCCGGUGUUACAGGAGGAACUGGUGGAUUUAGUCCAUCAAGGAGUGUUAAAAAUGUGGAAGCUGGUAGUAUGGUGAUUUCAAUUCAAGUGUUGAGAGAAGUUACAGACAAUUUUAGUGAAAAGAACAUAUUGGGAAAAGGCGGUUUUGCCACUGUAUACAAAGGAGAGUUGGACGAUGGAACAAAGAUUGCAGUUAAAAGGAUGAAAUCUGAAAUGGUUGGUGACCAAGGGCUGAAUGAGAUCAAGUCCGAAAUCGCGGUUCUCACUAAGGUUCGACACAGGCAUUUGGUUGCACUCCUUGGCUAUUGCUUGGACGAAAAUGAGAAACUUCUUGUCUUCGAAUACAUGCCUCAGGGAACUCUUAGUCAACAUCUCUUUGAUUGGAAAGACGACGGGUUGAAACCGCUUGGAUGGAAGAGAAGGCUUUCCAUUGCCUUAGAUGUUGCUAGAGGUGUUGAAUAUCUUCAUGGUCUGGCUCAGCAAAUUUUCAUCCACAGGGAUCUGAAACCAUCGAAUAUCUUGCUUGGAGAUGAUAUGCGUGCUAAAGUAGCCGACUUUGGAUUAGUUCGACUUGCUCCAGAAGGACAAGCUUCAUUCCAGACUAAACUUGCAGGAACCUUUGGAUAUAUGGCACCAGAGUAUGCAGGUAACACAUUUUAAUUAUAAUUUAGAAUUUUUUUUGUUGGAUAUGACUUUUUUGGUUAUAAUGUUAGUGUCAGCUUGGCUGAACUGCAGACAGUGUGAAUUUAGUUUGCAUAAACAAUUUUUUGCCGCAAUCUCAAAUACUAUGCCUUUUUUAUCAAAUUUUGUCAGUAAUUAUGGUUUUAGCUUGUACAAUCGUUCACUGUGUUUAUAUAGUGAUAAAGGCUGAUUAAAACUUGUCUAUACCUAGUGAAAUUAAGAUUCAGAUGAGGAAGAACCGAAGAAACAAUGAAUUAUCCUUUUUGUGAUUGUAACAGCUACUUCAUACAUAACAAGUUAUGAUGGUAACUAUACAUUGCAUAUACAUUAUUUCUUUUUGACUGAUAGCAUGUCCACACAUAACAGGGUAUAUAGUGUUACUAACAAAAUUCUGUUAAAGCAGAACGGUAUAAUAAGUUCACAAUCAAAUUUAUAACAACGUUUAAAUUUUCAUUUUAUUUAAGGCUAAGGGCUUGUCUGAGCCUGUGACAAUCAAGAAAGUAACCAAAACCAUAAACCAUGUUUUUCAAAGUAGCCUCAUGAAAAUCUAUAUCAGAUGUGGUAGUGGCAUUACCGGAGAAGAACACCCUGAAGCCUCUCAUAAAGGCCUCACAAAUUAGUCAUAUCGCCCGUCACUAUAAUAGUCACAUAUACCAUAUAGAAAUGAUUUAUAACGAUGGUGAAAAUUUGUUUUAUUAAAUGUACUAGUCUAAGAAAAAGACUGACGUUUGAUUAUAAUGAAGAGUUAUGUUGAGUCUGCUGAAAAACAAUCUGAAUGAGUGUGAUAGAUGAGAAAAAAUACUACAAAAGUGAUUUUUAUGAUUGCAAAGAAACACAAACAAAUAUAUGCAUUGCAAAAAAAUCUCUUUAUGGCAUUCAAAUUUAUUACAAUUUUAAAUCACUUUUUUUAUUGGGUCACUGUUUAGUAUUUCCCUUUUUUAUUUCUAAACAAACUGUCCCUUAUCACUUUCUUGUUCGAUUCCCUAAUUUAUUAAAAUGUUAUGAUAUGUCACAGUCACUGGCCGAGUCACCACAAAGGUAGACGUAUACAGCUAUGGUGUGAUUCUUAUGGAGAUGAUAACCGGAAAGAAGGCAAUUGAUAAUAGCCGACAAGAUGAGAAUAUCCACCUUGUUACAUGGUUCCGCAGGAUGCUACUGAACAAAGACUCAUUUGAAAAGGUCAUUGAUCCAGCAAUGGACAUCGACGAGGAAGGCUUGGAGAGUUUCAGGACUAUUGCAGGAUUGGCUAGCCACUGUUGUGCAAGGGAGCCUAAUCAGCGUCCUGACAUGGGACACGUAGUGAAUGUGCUAGCACCCCUUGUCGAGAUUUGGAAGCCGGCUGAACCUGAUGUUGAUGAUAUAUAUGGGAUUGACUUGGAUAUGAGUUUGCCUCAAGCACUGAUUAAGUGGCAGAAUCAUGAAGGAAUGAGCAACACACUUGAUGUUUCGUAUACUUCGUCAAUGGCUGCUAGUUGUGAGAAUACACAGUCAAGUAUACCACCUAGGUCUCCUGGAUUUGCAGAUUCCUUUACAUCUAAUGAUGCAAGAUAAAGUUUGAUAUGUAUGUAUGCAAAUGUUAACAUGUGCCCUUAUGGUACAUGUUAAGGAACUCAAUAUAGGAUAUUCAUCUUAAACAUUUUUAUAGUCAAAAGAUGUUUUUUUUUUUUUUUUUUCGAUGCAAAAUUAGGACAACCCUUGUAAUACUACCCUUAUGGCUAUGAUGGUUGAGUUUCCAUACUACCCUUGGUUUUUUACUACUAUUGCUACCUUUUACUACUUUCUGCAUUUUAUUUAACUUUUUGGUAAUAACGAAAAAAUAUGAUUAUUUCAAAAUAUCUAUGUCAAAACUUAUAUCAUAAUAAUAAUAAAAAAAAUUAAACAUUUUCUAUUUUGAUGCAAAAGACCAGUGUUACAUAAAGUACAAACUAAAGUAGUAUAUAUCUUUUUUAAAAUGCAAAAGUAUGAUUCAGAUCACUCCCACUUCUUUAAGUUGUCUAAAUCUCUUAAAACUGAUUUUGUUAGAAAUAGAAAAUUGAUGAUAAAAGAGUUUUCUAGUGUUAAUUGAUAAAACCAGGACACGAUUACAUUGGUGAUUCUAACUACUGUAAAUCACUCGACAAUGCUUGGAUGCUGGUAAUUCUGAAAAAGUGGCAAAUGCAUAUACUUUGAAGGUGGCGUGGGAUGUUCUUGUGAAGAAUUACGUGGGUGGAGCCAAAUUGAAUAAAGUAAAGCUUCAAUUCCAACGUGCCAGUACAAUACUUGGAUUGAUGGCCAUUACUAAUCAAAUGAAGAAUUGUGAAGAGACUGUAUCUGAUCAAAUGGGGGUUGAAAAGGUACUUAGAAUUGGUAGCAAUAUAAGAAACUAAGGACAUUAGUGAAAAUGAUUGUAGAAGAGCUUCAAAGUUCUUUAGAGGCUCAUGUGCUCAGGGUAAUUGGCAGAGGUGCUGAGAGGAAAGUAGAUCAAGCCUUACAAGGAGUUCUUUGGAUGUGGCUCGAUGUUGGGGAUGAGGAUUGAGUUCUCUUUUACAAGAUGUUCUUUUGGGGUGAGUGGUGGCAAAGAGUGUUAUGGAUGUUGUUUUUUAGUGGUCGGUAAGUUUAGGAAUCAGUUUUAGGAGAUGAUGUUUAUUUUGAUGGGUGUUGAUCGCAGGAAUGUAUUUGUUGGGAUUUGUUUUUGGGUGUUCCGCUUUUAUACGACGCCUUUAGUUUGUACUUUCUGUAACACAGGUCUUUGUUCGUCUUGUGCAGAGACCUGAUUUUUAAUAAAAUUUUGCUGAUUAAAAAAAAACCUUACAAGCUCAUGUGUCUAAAAAGAAUUUUCAUGAUAGUAAGAAAAGAAAUUUUGUAAAUGGGAAGUUUAACAAGAACAGGUCUUGUAACAAAGAUAAAGGAAGGUUGGUUCAUGAUAAACCUAAAACUUAAAAGAAAGGUAGAGGAUCUAAUGUCAAUCAAGAAAAGAAAAAGAAAUGGAGGUCCUUCAUAACUGAUUGGAUCAAGGGGUGUGACUGUUUAAGAAAAAUCGACAGAACUAAAAACUCAAACCAAACCAAAAAAUUACUCGACCUUCUCUAGUUUGGUUUAAAACUGAACUGAAUUGAUUUAGUUUGAUUUUUGUUAUUCAUUUUGAUAUCCAUUGAACCGACACAAAUAUCACCCCCAAAUUUUACUAACUAUCUCUCUAACACCCUUACUCACACUUAACUUAAGCUGAACAUUUUAUGAUUUUUUACUCAUCGGUCCAAUGCUCAUCAGUCCAAUUCGAUUAGUCAUCACGAUUCAUUAGUCAAGUUCUUCACUCACCCAAAAAAAAAAACCUCAAUCAUCGCUCACCUCAUCGGUGCUAAUAUGUCAUUGAUGGAUAAUUUGGUAAGUGUACCAAAUUGUAUAAGUAAUAAAUUAGUAUGUAAAUUGUCUCCACAUGGAUUGUUGCUUCUACUUGACGAUUAAAUAAUGCUUAAUUAAAACAUUAAAUAGGGGGAGUUUCAAGAGUUGGUUGCAAUUGAAAAUUAAAUAAAGAAUUUGAUCAGAAUGAUGAAAGACGGUUAAGAUUGUCUGAAUCCUCUCUAUGUUCUUGUUAGGUGAUACUAGUUCUUAAGUCAAUAUUAAUUUAAUAUCUAUGUUCACGACAUUUACAAAAUAUACCGAGACCAGUUUCUUGGUUCAAGGUCUUGUUCAUCUAAUAUAGAACCCUAAUGUCUUAGGUUAAACUCAUAUUAUAAAAAUCUUUGUUGAUCGUUAAACAAUAGCCACAAAACAUAGCAUAUUGAAAGAAUGGAAAUUUAUCAGUAAAGCAUGUAAACAUGUACCUGUCAUUGUUGAAUCUAUCGAUUCUUCUUAAACGGUUGAUAGAGAAGUUGUAACUGCCUUCUUGUGCCAUCAUAGUUUGUCUUGUCAAACAGUGAUAAAUACUCACAUUUCUUGGCUUUGUCAAAGCGGGUGAACUUUUCACCAAUGGACUUCAGAAAUCUUUAGCAUUGUCACUUUCUGAAAUGCUUUGCCUAAUGGAUUCUCAAUGGUAUAAGUUAUGAUCUUAAGACACACCCUAUUAGAAGUUUCCUACUUUUCAUAAAGGGCUUUAUAGGAAUCUGUAGAUGCAUUGGUAAGGGCAACAUGCUUGUCAGUUUUUAAGGAUAAGUCAAAAUUAUUAAUAACUAAGUAGUGAUUUAGAGAAUCUUUCCAGUCCUCAUAGUUAAUCCCAUUCAGAGUUUUCACAGAGCUAGGAAAAGAGUCUGUCAUUGAACAAUAAGGAAUCAUCAAAAAUAUUAUGCAAAAAAUGAUUCCACAUAUAUGUAGCCAAAAGUAUCCUUAUGAAAAAACUCUACAUCAUUAUGAUCUUACAUCCCAAAGUACAAUAAUAACCAAAACUUAUAACACAAAAUUCCAACAUCGAUAGGAUAUUGGAAUAUAAUAAGCAUAAAUGAAACAAGAUAUUGUACCAUAAUAAUUACACAAAUAAUAAUACAUCGAUAGGAUGUAAUUAUUAUUAAUAUAAUAUAGCUCAUAAUUACUAAUAAACAAAAUUUACAUCCAUAAUAAUACACCAAUAGGAUGUAAUUACUACUAAUAUAAACAAUUAAUUUUUACGGAAUUUGUAUCAAUAAUAAUACAACGAUAUGAUGUAAUUACUAAUGUAAAUAAUUGACUUCGUUAAUAAAUUGAUUCUACAAUAAAAAACAAAAUUCACAUAGUUGGUCUUACCAUGGGUGAGAUUACAACUACACAAACAAACAACUUAUACUUAUACAAAAUUCAGAUAAACAAUAUUACAUCGAUAUGAUGUAAUUACUAUUAGUAUGAAUAUUAAUAGCUACCAAAUAAUUAUCAAUUAUGCAAAUGGCCCAAAUCAGCUUAAGCAAUAAAACAAAUAAUGAGCCAGUCCAAAAAAGUGACCCAAAAGGCCCUGAAAAAAAUUGAGGGACCUACAAAUAGAGCUAGUGUGUGCGUCACACACGCAGACUCGAUUUGAGUCGUCCACAACAAAUAAACACGUGGUUGGAGUUUUUUUUUUAUUUUUUAAAUCACCUUUCUCACACAUAUGUCACAUAAACGGGUCAAAACGACCCGUGAUUAUAUCCAGAUGAAUCUACAGUUUCAGUCAUUGAAAAUCAACGGUUUUUACAGGGUUUUGAUCGCGAGACAAUAACAAACAAUUUCCCAAAAUCAAUUUCAUGAAAAACGUUGAACCAAAUCAAUUUGUAAAUCAAUUUUAUUUUAUUUUGCAUGGAUGAACAAAAUCAAUUUUCAUGAAAAAACAGAUAUCACAAACAGGGAAAGCUUAUCCAUGGUAUAAAAUAAUAUUUGUUGAAAACAUGUUUUCUUGAUCAUGUAUCCAAAUAAUUAUCAAAAAAGGAACUGUAAAAAAAAUAGAAAUCGUAUGCACAUGGAUAAUAGAAAAUUGGAAUCACAUGCAUCCAACAUAUAUAAACAUAAUCGUACAAUAAAAAUUAGUAAUAUUCAUGCAAUCGUUACAUUCAAAACAAUAACCAUACAAUGUGUCUAAUUGGCUUUGAUACCAAUUGAAGUAAAUUGUGAUCUUUUAAGCAAUUAUAGACACAAAACAUAGCAUAUUGAAUGAAUGCAAAUUUAUCAUUAAAGCAUGUAAACAUACUUGUCAUUGUUGGAUCCAUUGAUUCUUCAUAAACGGUUGAUAGAGAAGUUGUAAUUGCCCUCUUGCUGAUGGAAUAACGACAUAAUGAUAACUGACCUAAUGAGAUAGUCAGGUUAUAUAUCCAUCAGAUGAGGGUAGAGACCUCUCAACAGGCUAUCAGUAAGAAUGGCCCAACCCAUCACGGGUUAUUCUCAAUUAAGCCCAAGACAAAUAUUUAUUAUAUUUAUUUAACCAAGUGCAUUAACAAUUAAUAAUAAUUGAUUUUUAUUUUACUAGCAAAAAGACGGGAACUCACGUGCCGUCUUUCCGCUCUUUUUAUUGCGUUAACGUUUGAAAAUUAUGAACGGUGUUUUUUUAAUGAAAUUUUAAUUUAGAUUAAAACUAAAAAAAAUAUAUAAAUGUUUGUUGCUUUCAAGUUAUAAAAAAUCAAACCAACCAUGAUUAUCUAUUUCAACGACAUCGACAAUAAUACAAUAUAACAAAAAAAUAUAAUCUAAAUUCUUUUCUUAGUGACACCAACAACAAUUUUAUUAUAGAAAAAGUUGAUUAAAGGUAUAAUUAGAAUAGAUAUAUCAACGUAAUUAAAGUUAUCCAUAAAUUCCAACAUACUAAAUUGUACAAGUUAUAAAGUAGCAUGUAAAUCGUCUCUAUAACACUUUAAACCCUUUAACACAAUAAAUCAUGCAAAUAAUACAUUAUUCAAAAGAGUUUAAAUGUUACAUCUUCAAUUAUCUAAAAACAUACAUAACUAUGCUUUCAAAAGCUCGCAGCGGAAAAUCAUCAUACAAAAUAUCUCGACAACAAAUAAAAUCUCAACAACCAUGUGUCAUAAUACAUCACUAAAUAAAUCUCAAAUCUCAUGCAUAAGUGAGCAACAAGUCUCAAAAAGGCAUAAAUAAAUAAGUCCGACACCUUAAUCAGAGUCCUAAACUAGACCCCGAGCAAAAAGAAAAGAGGUAGCUCCAAAGCUAGUCCUCAAGCAACUCACAAGCAAUAAGAGAGUCAGUCUUGUAUGUCGUCUACCCAUUAAUACAAAUAGGCAGGGGGUCAACCAAACGACCACUAGGGGUUAGAUUAUAUUCCACAUAAUAAACAUAUAAUCCAAUAAAUGCAUAACAACAUAUUCAUUUUUCAUUGUUCAAUAAAUAACUCUUAAUCAAAUCAUACAACAUCGAAUCAACACAUCAACAUUAUUAUACAAGUGUACAAGCAUAAUCAAACAACAUAUACAAGUUCACAUUUCCACAUAGUCACAACCAGUGGUGGAGCCAGGAAUUUUAUAGAGCCUGAGCAAUUAUCGCAAAUUCGCAUGUAACAUAAUAUAUAUAAAUAGUCAUAAAUUGAAAUAAAAAAGGUUCGUCAUUUUUUUUUAACAAAAGUACAAUUUGAAAUAAGAUAGAUGAAAUAUAACCUACCAAUAGUGUGCUAAAUAAAAUUAGGAGGUAAAUGUCCUUUCAGAGACCUAUUUGCGUGCUAAAUAUAGUGGAACGGAGAAGGAAUGAAAAUGGAGGCAGACUGAGAGUUGAGAGAGGGUGAGGCGCAAGUUGAGAUAGGGAGAGGCAAAUGAAAGUGAAACACGACUAAGAGACUGAGAAUUGAGAGGUCAGCCGCGAGUUGAGAGAAGGAGAAGCAGAGCAGAUUAUAUGCGCCUCAAAGCAAAGAGUUUUCUAUCAAUUUUUUUUUUACUAUUAAUUUUCUCACCCUAUCUCAAUCUCGUGUGCCCUGUAAAUUUUCUAAAAAUGCCCCUGUGAUUUUUAGAUUUUAAAAUCCGAACUAUGUUUUUCCUUUGUUAUUGGGUGAAAAUAAAGAGUUUUUCACCAAUUCGGAUUUUAUAAUCCGAAAACCUCAAAAACACCAUAUGUUUCCGAUUUAUGGAAUCCGAACAUGCCCUAAACACCCUAUUUCAAUUCUGAACAUGCUUAUAACAUGUAUAAUCAUUUUAAGGAGCAUAUUAAUCUUCCUUACUAUCACCCUCCUGUUUUAGGUCAUUGUUAGCUAUUCCCAUUAAAAAAAAUGAUAUUUGGGGUACUUGAUCCGAUUGUACCGAAACUUUCACAGAAAAUCAGAAGAAGAAAAAAAUCAAGGAUCAAGACUCAUUUUUCAUAUCUAAGAAAAAUUCGAAAAAAAUUUGCAUUAGUUUUAUUUGAUUUUUAGAAAUUUUUGGUGGUAUUUUUAUAUUUUUAUGAUUUUAUUUGAUAGGUUUUUAGCUUUUUUUACUUUGUUUUUUGGUUGUUUUUAAAAGCAAAAUUCAUAAUUGCGGAAAUGGAAGAGAUUCUGAUUGCUGAUUAUACAUAAGCAUAUUUCAGAUUUUAUAAUCCGAAUUAGCGAAAAAUUAUUUUGGAUUUUAAAAUCCGAAUUACUCAUAGGCAUUUUUGUAAAACAUACUGGGCGCGCGAGAAAUGGGUAGGUGGAAAAGGUAAUAGUCGUUUUUAUUUAAGUGGUUAAUGGGCUAUUGGGUUGGACUUGCUACAAAGAAAAUGAGUGUUGAUCCCGGGCUAGUGUCAAGGCUAGCUGGGGGGUGUAUCCGCCCAUGGUCACAACGUUGACCAAGUUUCACCAAUGCACAUAAUCACCAAAUCACAUAGUCAAGUACGACACAUUUCACCAAUCUCAAGUGCAUGCAAUAUUCUAGACACUUCUACAUGCAUGUGGUACCAAUUGAAUUUGGGAGAUAAUUUUACCGUAUGAAUCCACCAACGUAACGAACACCGGAAACUACUGAUGACAGAUCAUCUUACGUUAUUCUUAGCAUAUUUUUCAGUUAUUUUUAGUAGGUUUUAUGUGUAAAGCAUUAAGCACAAGGUAUAAUGAACAAAUUUAGUUCAAAUUGCAUUAAUAUAAGAUAUCAUAGAUUACAUGGUUCAAACAAUAUUAUAUAUGUUGAUCAUUCAACCCUAAUCUAAAGUGUCUAGCUACUCAUAGAGUGACUAUGAUCUUCAAUCUUGUUUCAAAAGGGUAAAACCGCCAGUUGUGUUGCAUAGAUCGCGCCUUUAGCCUUCAAAGUUAUAAAAAUUAGAACCCUUGCUUCUCGCUUGACGCUUAGAAAAUCAAUAUAUAGGCAUAUUUUUUUAAUCACGUACGAGCGUCACAUACACCUUUAUGUACGUUAUGCUUUCCAUUUCAAAUCCAAUGUGGUCUGAACUUUAAUAUCUUCAAUGUUUUUACGUUCGUACCUUUGUAACUUCCACAAUGUGUCUUUUCCUCAAAUCAACCCAUUAACCUAUACCUAACACUAUGACACUGUAUAAAGUUGUCUGGUUAGACAAAUGCAUCGACUUACAAUGACUCAAUUUAAUAUAUUGCAUAACCUUUACCAAACUAUCAAUAACUCAUUGUAAUCCUAUAAAAAUCUAAAAAUACAUAUACUCACGAUGACUCAAUUUAAUAUAUUGCAUGACAUUUCCCAAACUAUCAAUAACUCACUGCAAUCCUCCAAAAAAUCUAAAAAUAAAAGACAAAAAGACUCGAGAAAACACUAAAAUACAUGUUAUGCCGAGUAGUAGGGGUGGGCAUGGUUUGGUUUUUGAAGAUAACUGAACCGAACCGUUUAAACGGUUCGAAAAACUGAACCAAACAGUUUGAAGUUUGCGAGUAACCAAACCGAACCAAAGUUAUGGAGUUUAGUUAACAGUUUUGUUGUCUACGAACCGAACGAAACAAAACCCAAAGUAAUAUUUUGAACCAAAAUGUGUUUUCUUAUCCUUUUGUAAACUAAAUUUUUUUUUUUUGUUCUUUUUCAUAAAUUUGAAUUAUGUGACAGGUGUUAAGAAUUUUGGUUUUCUCAAAAUUGUAUUAAGACAUUUUAUUAAUUAUAUUUAAACUAUGACCAAAUGUAUUAAUCCUUUUUAAGAAUUAAAUCACACUAUUUAUUAAUUUUUUGUGGUUUUACUAUUUGUAUUUUAGGAAUAUCAACAAAAACAUCAACAAUUCCAAUGAUAAUGCAUGAUGAAAGGGAAAAUAAAACUUCAUUGUUAAAAUAUGAAGUUUGUGUUUUGCUGAUGGUUUGGUUCGGUUUAAAAUGGUUCGAUUCGGUUCAAAACAUAUCAGUUAUGGUUCAAUAAUCGUUAUUAAAUUACCGGUUUGGUUCACAAGCUACUUAAAUGGUUCAGUUAAUUAUUAUUCGGUUCAGUUUGGUUCGUAGUUCGGUUCAGUUUUUGGAUCUUUUUAACUAGCAAACUAAUCUAAUACCAUUUCUCAUAUCACUGUAUGAUUUGAUUUUAAAAAUUUCUAUAUAAGUAGCAAGGUUAAUUAUGGUGGCUUGGAAGGAUGAAUGAUGAAAGCAGUCUAAGGUAAACAUUAAUUUGAUAUAAUAAAUUGGAAAUAAAUUAUGUUCUGCAUUCUAAUUAUGUGUAUAGUUCAUUUCAGGAUGGUGAGUUGGUGAUGCAAGUCAAUGAAGAUGUUUUUUUUUUCUUUCCUUUUUCCAAUAAGUGUGAAGAUGUUUGUAGUUGAAACUUACCUUUUUUAUCAAGUCAUUUGAGGGAACAACCAUUUUAAUCUGUAUUUGAAAUUGAUUUAGUAUCAUUUUAAGUAAACUAUCUCGUUUAUAAUAUGAGAUUUGAAGAUGUGUGUGCUAAAAUUUGUAAUUUACAAUUUAAUAUGCAAUAUGUUGUAAUUUGAGAUUAAACGCGUGCCGCGUACACCCUUAGUCCCUUACAACUGCUACGCGUGCUGUUUAAAAUCAUGCAUUGCAAUUUUUCAUCAAGACGCGUGACGCGUAACAUGUCACACGCAUAAAACAAGAUAGAGUAGUUUAGUAUGCAUAUACUCCAUCCGCUCUCAUUAUUAAAAAAAAAAAUAUAUCAAAGUCAAUUUAAAAGUAAUUGUUGUAACUUUUUUAAAUAUUUUACAAAUAUACCCUUACAUAAUAAUAUGAGAUUUAAAGUUGUGUGCUAAAAUUUGUAAUUUACAAUAUAAUAUGCAAUAUGCUGUAAUAUGAGAUUUAACGCGUGCCGCAUACACCCUUACGCCCGCGGUUUAAAAUCCAUUUUUGCAAUUUUCCAUCAAGACGCGUGACGCGCAACAUGUCACACACAUAAAACAAUAUAGAGUAUGGUUUUAGUAUGCAUGAUACGCCAUCCGCUCUUUAUUAUAAAAAAAAUAAAAAAUCAAAACCAAUAUAAUUAUUGAUUGUUAUAACUUUUUUUUAAAUAUUUUUACAAAUAUAACUCUUUAGUGUCUCUUUCUUCCUCAUUCCCCGCCAUGUAUUUAUUCCAAUUCAUUCAUCCCAUAAAAGCGUUUUUUCUUUCUUUCUCUUUCAAUUGAUUCUCCCUUAAAAACAUUCCCUUUUUCAGUCCAAUCCUUAUCAAUGCCAGCUUGAUUAAGUGUUUUUUGUUCUCAUUCUUGCUACAUUAUUCUCUGUUCUCUUACGCUACCUUCCUUUGUUUUUUUUCUCUCUUUUUCUUCUUAUUAAACCCUUCCCUCAAAACUCAUUUCCAUCAACAACAAAAAAAACUUGAGAAAAAACUUGCACAAAACACAAAAUGAGUUUUGGAGUUUCCUAUGUUCUUCACCUUGUUUUACUGUUUUUUAUGAUGUUUAUUGCUGCAUGGUCUCAAGAUGACGUUGUUAUGCAAAAGCUGAAAAGUUCUAUAACAUCAUCAAGCAAUGAUCUUGAUUGGUCAGACAAAGAUUGUUGCAAAUGGAAGGGAGUUUCAUGCAGCGGAACGACGGUCACUGAAAUUAAUUUAGGACAACUCAAUAUUCAAGGUUCUUUACCAAAAGAAUUAAUGCAACUCACUGCUUUAACUCGUUUCGAUUGCAGUGAAAAUGAGUUUUCUGGAGGUUUUCCAUACAUGCCAAAUUCACUUCAGAACUUGUAUAUCAGAAACAACAGUUUCACUUCCAUGCCUAGUGAUUUCUUCACCAACAUGAGUAAUUUGAUAGAGGUGGUAAUUGAUUCUAACCCUUUUUCUCAGUGGCAAAUUCCUUCUAGUCUUAAGAAUUGUUUAGCCCUUAAGCUUUUUUCUGCUAAUAGUGCUGGUUUAGUUGGUGUAAUCCCUGAAUUCUUUGGAAAUGACACUUUUCCAAGUUUGACAGAUUUGAAGGUGUCUUUUAAUUCUCUUGGAGGUAAUUUGCCUAAUAGUUUAUCUGGUAGUUCUAUAGAGAACCUUUGGGUGAAUAAUCAAAAUGGUAAUAAACUCAAUGGUACACUUUCUGUUUUGCAAAAUAUGACGUCGUUGAAAGUAAUUUGGGUUCAAAGUAAUGCUUUUACUGGUCCAAUACCAGAUUUUUCAAAUCAUGAUCAAUUGUCUGAAGUUAGUUUCAGAGAUAAUCAGUUAACCGGUGUUGUUCCGCAGUCUUUAAUUUCGCUUCAAAGUUUGAAAGCUGUGGCUUUGACGAACAAUCGUCUUCAAGGGUCACCUCCUAAGUUUAAAGAUGAUGUUAAGGUUGAUAAUGAUAUGGAUAAAGGGAUUAAUAGCUUUUGUACUAAGGUUGUUGGUCAACCAUGUAGUCCACUUGUUAAUGCUUUGCUUUCUGUUGUUGAACCUUUUGGUUAUCCUCUUAAACUUGCUCAAAGUUGGCAAGGUAAUGACCCUUGUCAAGGUGGUUGGUUAGGGAUUGUUUGUUCUAGUGGGAACAUUUCAGUUAUCGCCUUCGAGAAAAUGGGUUUUUCCGGUAGUAUAUCAUCUAGUUUUGCAAGUCUUAGUUCUGUGACGAAGUUGCUUCUUGAUAACAAUCAUCUCACCGGCACUAUACCUAAGGAGCUUGCUAGUAUGCCGGCUUUGAAAGAGCUAGAUGUUUCGAAUAAUGCAUUGUAUGGUCAGAUACCAUCGUUUCGCGGAGAUGUGGUUGUUAAAACCGGUGGAAAUCCUGAUAUUGGAAAGGACAAACCUCCUGGCUCGCCCGGCUCUAGUUCUGGAGGUGAAUAUAAGAAGAAAAUUAGUGUUGGAGCAAUUGUUGGGAUUGUGAUGGGGAUUGUUUGUUUACUUGGUGUAGUAGGGGUUUUGGUAUUUGUUAUGCGCGGUAGAAGACAUAAUAAGUGUGCUGGUAAAGUUCAAACUCCAAAUGCAAUAGUGGUACAUCCUCGUCAUUCAGGUGAUGGAAAUGGCGUGAAAAUAAGUGUUGCAGCAGCCGGAAGUUCCAGUGUCGGCGUUGCACGAGGAACUGGUGGAUUUAGUCCAUCGAGUAGUGUUCGAAAUGUGGAAGCUGGUAAUAUGGUGAUUUCAAUUCAAGUUCUAAGAGAAGUUACAAACAAUUUUAGUGAAAAAAACAUAUUGGGGAAAGGUGGUUUCGCUACUGUAUACAAAGGAGAAUUGGACGAUGGAACAAAGAUUGCAGUGAAAAGGAUGAAAUCUGAAAUGGUUGGUGACGAAGGGUUAAAUGAGAUCAAGUCUGAAAUCGCGGUUCUCACUAGGGUUCGACACAGGCAUUUGGUUGCACUCCAUGGCUAUUGCUUGGACGACAACGAGAAACUUCUUGUCUUUGAAUACAUGCCUCAGGGAACUCUUAGUCAACAUAUCUUUGACUGGAAAGACGAUGGGUCGAAACCGCUCGGAUGGAAAUGUAGGCUUUCCAUUGCCUUGGAUGUUGCUAGAGGUGUUGAAUAUCUUCAUGGUCUGGCUCAGCAAAUUUUCAUCCACAGGGAUCUGAAGCCAUCAAAUAUCUUGCUUGGAGAUGAUAUGCGCGCUAAAGUAGCCGACUUUGGAUUAGUUCGGCUUGCUCCAGAAGGACAAACUUCAUUUGCGACUAGACUUGCAGGAACUUUUGGUUAUUUGGCACCAGAGUAUGCAGGUAAUCACAUGUUAAUUAUAAUUUAGAAUAAUUUUUGUUGCAUUACUGUUUUUUAUUGCACAUGUUAAUUGUGUAGGUUUCUACUUUAGUCUCAGAUGAACUAUAGAGUAUAGAGACAAAUUUUUGCAACAUUCUCAAAUACUAUGCUUUUUAUUUUUAUUUUUAUUUUUUUUUAUCAAAUUUUAUCUUGAAAGAACUGUAUUGAGAAAACAGGCAAACAUGAUUCAUAUUGUUCGUGUGAUUCUCUGUCUCUGUGUGUCUAUAUUUUGUUGUUAAAUGUUAUAUAAAUUCUAGCAUAUUUGUAAUUUUUCUCCUUUCUUGUUCAACUCGCUAACUAGUUUAAAUGGUAUGAUAUGUCACAGUCACCGGUCGAGUCACCACAAAGGUAGACGUAUACAGCUAUGGCGUGAUUCUUAUGGAGAUGAUAACCGGAAGAAAAGUAAUUGAGAACAGCCAAUCGGACGAGAACAUACACCUCGUUACAUGGUUCCGAAGGAUGCUACUAAACAAAGACUCAUUCGAAAAGGUCAUUGAUCCAGCAAUGGACAUAGACGAGGAAGGCCUGGAGAGUUUCAGGACUAUGGCAGGAUUGGCAAGCCAAUGUUGUGCAAGGGAGCCUCAUCAGCGUCCUGACAUGGGACAUGUAGUGAAUGUGCUAGCACCUCUUGUCGAGAUUUGGAAGCCGGCUGAACCUGAAGCUGAUGACAUGUAUGGGAUUGACUUGGAUAUAAGUUUUCCUCAAGGACUUAGUAAGUGGCCGAAUCUUGAAGGAACGAGCAACACACUUGAUGUUUCGAAAUCUUCUUCGAUGGCUGCUGGUUGUGAGUAUACACAGUCAAGUAUCCCUCCUCGGUCUCCUGGAUUUGCCAAUUCUUUUACAUCUGCUGAUGCGCGAUGAAAUUUGAUGUACAUUAUUUAAUUAUUUCCGCUUUUGCCAACCGUUUGGAGUUUCCUUUCAAGUUUGUUUCAUGACAUAUAUUACACCCUAAUUGAUUCUUUUAACUUGUCCUUUUUUAUUUGUCUUUUUUCUAGAGUUUUUUCAAAUUCCUAGUACUUAAGAAACAAUUAAACUUUUUAGUUCUAUUGAUCAAGAAAAAUAGGACUUAGUUACUCAUAUCAAAUGUUAUUUUACUAUUUUUCUACUUUUUUUUCCUCUGGCAAGUUUUUUGCUAAAGUAUGGAAUGAGUUUUGUUAUUGGACCACCAAAAGAAGUAUCAAUCCACACCCUCAACAUAUUGGUGAACUAUCCUCAACAUAUUGUUGAACUAUCCCGGACCUUGCAUACAUCAUGCAUUGUCCCUACCAACUCACGAGGACUUUGUUUAACUCCCUAUAAACAACACACACACAAACUCAGCAUUUUUUUUCAUUUAAAUAUGGAUAUUUUUUGAACGGAAAUAUUAGUACUGAACUGUUUUUAUGGUCACACUCUAUUAAUUGUUGGAAAAUGCUUAAGGGAUAGUAGCCUAUUUCUGUAUCUUUGAUGAACUUGAGCAUUUGAUGGCCAUGUAUUUUCCGAGAAUUUCUUAUCACUCCCACUUUUCUCGCACCAUCUACGGAAUUCUCAUUUUGUCUCGUUUAGGUUAUACAAACCGAAGUGUAUUUAUGAAAUUUGGGGACAUUGAAUCUAAAUUCUAUCAUAACACAUAAGACCAAGUAUUUUGCCAAUCAAUAAACAAAAUAGUGUUGAGGAAUGCUAGCAACAUUCACUUUUGAACACUCUCUAACACUGGAAUGAACAUUACUCAUCAAAUAUUUUCUUGCCACCUCUUCUUCUAUUGUUAUUUCCACUUAUAUAUUUCCAUUAAAACGACCAGGAUUGCUAUUAAUGUUCUCCGGUUUUCAAGAACUGCUUUCACUUUGUGAGUCUCUUCCAUUUGAAUUGUCAACAGUCACACAUUUAUAAAUAAUGAACAAAGCCUUGUAAUCUUUCUUCUUCUCUUUAUGCGCAACUUUUUUUCAUCAGUGGCACGAUCACCAAUGGGUUAUAUUCCAUUCUGCACCAAAUCCCAUAAAUCUUGGAAACCAAACACCACAUUCAUUUGUUUGCUCCGGUUGUCAUAAUUCUUCCCAUUGAGAAUUGGAAGGUUUUGCAGGAAAGUUUCCAUCUGUAUGUGUCGUGCCAUUGACGACUCUUUUCACUUAGAACUAGGCUCUUGAUGCCAGAUGUUUGAAAUUGAACUGCUUACUUAGUUCACACACACACGCACACAUACACGCAUUCGCGCGCACGCAUGCAUAUGCGCCCAUACACAUCUUCUUAAUUAACCCGAUCUUUAUGUAGACAAAUACUAUAAUGAACUUAUAUUAGUAAUUGAGUCUUGCUAACAAGUACCCCUUAGGGCAUUGUUUAAGGAAUCCAUUAAAAGAAAUUUUAUCUUGACCUCUUCGCGUAGUAGAGAUUCAUGACCUCUGCUGCAUGGUUCCAUUUUAAGUCGGGUAAGAAACAUGCUCCAUUUGGUUGUCCAUUAGCUGCAAAAAUUCAAAAUCAAAAUAACAAAUUAUAUAGACUCAAGAAUGAGAUCAUAAUAUAAACUAGAUAGCUAAUGAAUAUGAAUAGUAGAAAAAUUUAAUAAAUUAAUUAAGUACCUCCUGCUGCUAGCAUCUUAAUAAGAAAGAUCAUAAUUGAGCAAGAGUAUUUGAAGAACUUCAUAGGGAGAUUCCUAUAGCAAUUUUUAUCUUAAGAAACUAAAUGGUUGGUGAUAAGAUAAUGUUGAGUGAGUGAAUUAGGAGGCAGGCAAGCACAUUAUAUAUAUAGCAUGAAUGAACGUGUAUACAAUUUAAACAUUCAUUCAUCACUUUUCUUAAGUGUAUGGAAUUGACACCUUUCUAAAGAAAAUGGUUGCCGUUUUUCUCUCUAAUUUUACCAUUUACAAAAUUUACUUAACCAUUAAGUAGUAUAGUAAUUUGUAUAUUUGCAACCAAUGUAAUUAUCAGUAAAUUGGUCAGUGCAUAUUCUAAAUAAACCAUGUUAAUGAAUUCAAGCACUCUAUGAAGAAGUUUGAUAUGACUGAUCUGGGCAAAAUGAUGAACUUUCUGGGUGUUGAAAUUAAGCAGGACUGAACAACGAUGGAAUAUUCAUUUAUCAUCAAAAAUAUGCUAAAGAUAUCCUGCAAAGACAUGGCAUGGAAAGCUGCAACUUAGUGUGCAAUCCCAUAGUGCCUAGCUGCAAGUUGGCUAAAGAUCAGUUUAGAAAAGGAGCGGACUCGACAACACACAAGCAAAUGGAACAAUGUCUCAUGUAUUUUCUUGCAACCAGGCCUGAUCUUGCAUAUUCAGCGUGCUUGAUUGCAAGAUACAUGGAAAGACCAACUGAAAUUCACAUGGCAGCCGUGAAGAGAAUUCUGAGAUACUUGAAAGGAAAAACUAGCUAUGGUUUGAUGAUGUAUAAGAAGGGAAAAAGAGAAGAACUUAUGACCAAGCCUUUGAGUUUAGAAACAUUCUCCAGAUUGAGAGACAAGCUUGGACUGUGCAAACUGGAAUUGCUAAAUAGACUUGUUAUAAGUUCAGUUUAGGGGAGGAUAUGUUAGGAAGUAUUAACUUUGUCCGUUGUUAGUUAAUUGUUAGUUGAAUCAUUCUGUUUGUUAGUUAGUUUGGUAAUGGUAGAUGGCUUGCAUCACAAGCAAGUUAGUUAGAUGGUAGUUUCUCUUGUACAAUAAGCCUAUAUAAGGCAUUACUUGAUCAGUAAUAUUCAGUUGAACCCUUUCACCAAAAUCUCCUUUCUACCUUCUUAUUCUAAACCCUCAAAAUUAUAGGAGAAAUUCGUUAAUUUCUCACCCUCAUUUCUUUGUUAGUAAAGAAAUGGGAGUGAAAGUAGUGAUAAAAGAAGAAAUUCGUUGAUUUCUCACCCUAAAGCUGAUAAAUUUAACUACAAUGUUGUCAGCAAUGAUUAAGAACGUUUGGCUUUGUAUGGUAGUUGCAUGGUCAUCCAAGUAAAAUCUCAUGAAAAGGUCUUCAUUGAUUGAGUGAAGAAUGAUUAGAAUGCUUCUACAAUGAUAUUGAUCCAGCUUAUAUAGGAUCUGAAUCAGUGAUGUGAACAGAAAUAAUUAUCUAAUUAAAAGUAACAUCUAACUGAAUUUCUUUCUAACUAAUUAUGGUUAACUGUAACCAAAUUCCUUCAACUUAAAAAAAGAGUUUGGUCUAGCUAGAAUAAUAUCAUCGACAUAAAAAAAUAAGACAACUAACGAGGACUCAGAACCUGAAGUGAAAAGAGAGUAAACAUUUUUAGAGUACAUAAAACCAUGUGUCACCAAGGAGGUGGAAAAUUUGAAAAACCACUGUCAUGAAGCUUGUCUAAGUCCAUAUAAAGACCUGUUCAAUUUUCAAACUAAGCUCUUAUGAGGAGGGUGAUAUCCCAAGGGAAGAGUCGUAUAAACUUUUUAAGAGAGCUCACCAUUAAGAAAAACAUUUUUGAUAUCUAGUUGCAAUAAAUGACAUUGUUUUGCUACAAGAACAGUGAACAAUACAUAUAUAGAGUAAGUUUGGAACAGGAGAAAAUGUAUCAGAAAAAUUAAUAUCAUCCAUUUGAAUGUAGCCUUUAGCUACUAGUCGAGCUUUGUGUCAAUCAACAUUUGCCGUCAGACUUAAAUUUCACCAUGUAAAACCAUUUGAUGCCAACAAUGUUUUCUAGGUGGAAGUGGUCCAAGAGACCAUGUAUUGUUUGUUUCCAAAGCCUUGAUUUCCUCAUUCAAUUCCUUCCUUAAUUCAGGAUAUCAGUUCUUUGCGUUAAAAUUCAGGUUGAAAAAUAGAAUUUACUGCACAGAUAAAGGCAUUGUAGGAUGGAUUGUGUUUGGAAUAUGACCAGAAGUUUUGUAUAGGAUAAAUGGAGGAUUGAGAGGCCAGAUUUUAAUCACUCAAGUAAGAGGUGGAUAGGAAAUUAUCCUGAAUUAAUUUUUUUUUUGUUGAAAAAGACAAUAGAAAAUUGAUUCACUUAGUAAUUGAAUAACAAACAUCAAAUUAGUAUAAAAUUGGGGGAUGUAUAAUAUAUUUUGUAGAAGAAAAUUAGGGGACAAUCUAAUAGUUCCAACUGCUGCAAUCGAAACAAACAUCGUAUUUAUGAGUGACUUUUUGACAAUAAUGAAAUAACACACAAGUUAGUCUAAGAGAAUCCCCUAAUCUCAAUCCCCUAAAUUGUAUACUCGACCGUGUAUUCUCAAAAUUCAUCGUGCAUCAGAAGAUGUAAAGGAAUCAACAAAUCCAGGAGACUGGGGUGGUAUACUCGACUGCGUAUUCUCAGAACUAGCAGCCUUCGACGAACAAUACGAAACAUCGAGUGUGUUGCUCAUUCCUUCAAGAUUCUGCAACUUACUCGGUGCUUGAGGCAAACCCAUAUACAAGUCAAUCCCAUACAUGUCAUCAGCAUUAGGUUCAGCCGGCUUCCAAAUCUCAACAAGAGGUGCUAACACAUUCACUACGUAUCCCAUAUCGGGACGCUGAUGAGGCUCCCUUGCACAGCAGUGGCUUGCCAAUUCUGAAAUGAUCCUGAAACUCUCCAAGCCUUCCUCGUUGAUGUCCAUUGCUGGAUCAAUGACCUUUUCGUACGAGCCUUUGUUAAGUAUAAUUCUGCGGAACCAAGUAACAAGGUGGAUGUUCUCGUCUGGUUGGUUGUUGUCGAUUACUCUCUUUCCGGUUAUCAUCUCCAUAAGAAUCACGCCAUAGCUGUACACGUCUAACUUUGUGGUGACUCGGCCGGUGACUGUGACAUAUCAUACCAUUUUAACGAGUUAGGGAAAUGAACAAGAACGGAGAAGAAUUACCAAUAUGCUAGGAUGCGAGUUGCUACACAUAGGUACAGGGCAUGUCAUGAAAAAUAUAAGAUGCUAGCACCAAAAAUUCUUUCUAAUCGACUAAAAACUAAAUAUCAAUUGGCGAAGUAGAGGGAAGAUCACAAGGUAUGCAAAUUGGCUGUAGAUGACAAGGGCCUGUUUGUUUACGAAUGAAAAAAAAGUAAUUUAACAUUGUAUAAAAAUUGAAUUCCAUAUAGACUAUAGAGAUUUUUAUGCAAUGCAUAAAUUUGUUGUGUUUCUAAGUGUUUCUUUACAAUCAUGAAAAUCACUUUUUUGAUAUUUUCUCACACUCAUUAAGAUUGUUAUUCACUAGCCAGUCAACAUAGCUUUUCCUUAUAAUCAAAUUUCAAUUUUUUCAUAAUCGUAUUUAUUUUCAAAAGUUUAAACAAGGGAAAAUAACAUUUACCUCCCUUAAAGUAGGUUGAAAUGUCACUCACACGUAUUGUAUUGGUGAAGUGUGAAGCGAUUCACUAUGAAUUUCGCUUCUUUUUUUUUUUUUUUUCCCUUUUCUUUCUAUAACUCCAUUAUUUCAUUAACAUAAUAAAUCGAAUAUAUGUGUAGUGCAGUACCUCGAAGCACAUCAAACAAAACUCAUCUAAAGAAUGAAUUGGAUCCCAAAAAAAGAUAUUAACUUGGAAUGAAGGAUCUAAAUUGUCAUCAUUGCUUUCUCAAAGCACUUUUUCUAGACCAAAAUUUGAUCAUAUAAAAAAGGGCAUAGUAUUUGAGAAUGUUGCAAAAAAUUGUUUCUGCAUAACUAAAUUUACUAUCUGCAGCUCAUCUGACACAAAGUAGGAACCUAGAUAGUUAAUAUGUGCAACAAAUAAAAAGUCAUAUGCAACAAAAAAAAAUCUAAAUUAUAAUUAAAAUGUGAUUACCUGCAUACUCUGGUGCCAUAUAUCCAAAAGUUCCUGCAAAUCUAGUCUGGAUUAAUGAAGCUUUUCCUUCUGGAGCUAGCCGAACUAAUCCAAAGUCGGCAACUUUAGCGCGCAUAUCAUCUCCAAGCAAAAUAUUUGUUGGUUUCAGAUCUCUAUGAAUGAAAAUUUGUUGUGCCAGACCAUGGAGAUAUUCAACACCUCGGGCAACAUCCAAGGCAAUGGAAAGCCUACUCUUCCAUCCGAGCGGUUUCAACCCGUCGUCUUUCCACUCAAAGAGAUGUUGACUAAGAGUUCCCUGAGGCAUGUAUUCAAAAACAAGAAGUUUCUCAUUGUCGUCCAAGCAAUAGCCAUGGAGUGCAACCAAAUGCCUGUGUCGAACCUUAGUGAGAACCGCGAUUUCGGACUUGAUCUCAUUCAACCCUUCAUCACCAACCAUUUCAGAUUUCAUCCUUUUCACUGCAAUCGUUGUUCCAUCGUCCAAUUCUCCUUUGUAUACAGUAGCGAAACCGCCUCUCCCCAAUAUGUUUUUUUCGCUAAAAUUGCCUGUAACUUCUCUUAAAACUUGAAUUGAAAUCACCAUAUUACCAGCUUCCACAUUUUGAACACUACUCGAUUGACUAAAUCCAGCAGUUCCUCCUGAAACGCCGGCACCAGAACUUCCAGAUGCUGCAACACUUAUUUUCACGCCAUUUCCAUCUCCAGAGUGACGAGGAUGUACCACGAUCGCAUUCGGAGUUUCAAUUUUGUCAUCACGCUUAUUUUGUCUUCUAUGGCACAUAACAAAUACCACAACCAGUGUACCAAUUAAGCAUAAAAUUCCUAUCACAAUCCCAACAAUUGCUCCAACACUCAAUUUCUUCUUAUCUUCACCUCCAGAACUAGAGUCGGAACUAGAUUUGGGGCUGUCAGGCGAGUCAUGAGGUUUAUCCUUUCCAAUAUCAGGAUUUCCACCUGUUUUAACAACCACAUCGCCGCGAAACGACGGUAUAUGACCAUACAACAAAUUAUUCGAAACAUCUAGCUCUUUCAAUUGAGGCAUACUAGCAAGCUCCUUAGGUAGAGUACCGGUGAGAUUAUUGUUAGCAAGAAGCAACUUCGUCAAAGAACUAAGACUUGCAAAAUUAGGAGAAAUACUGCCAGUAAAACCCUUGUUUUGAAAGUCGAUAAUGGUAAUGUUGCCACUAGAACAAACAACCCCCAACCAACCACCUUGACAAGGGUCAUUACCUUGCCAACUUUGAGCAAGUUUAAGAGGAUAACCAAAAGGUUCAACAACAGAAAGCAAAGCAUUAACAAGUGGACUACAUGGUUGACCAAUAGCCUUAGUGCAAAAGCUAUGAGUCCCUCUAUCAAUAUCAUUAUCAACACGAACACGAUUUUGAAACUUAGGAAGUGACCCUUGAAGAUAAUUGUUUGUCAAAUUAACAACUGUUAAACUUUGAAGCGAAGUUAAAGACGGUGGAACAACACCGGUUAACUGAUUAUCUCUCAAACUAACAUCAAACAAUUGAUCAUGAUUUGAUAAAUCAGGUAUACGACCAGUAAACGAAUUACCAUGUACCCAAAUUUGUUUCAAUGAUGUCAAAUUUUGCAAAACAGAAAGUGUGCCAUUGAGUCUAUUAAUACUACUUUGACCAUUUACCCAAAGUUUCUCUAUAGAACUACCAGAUAAACUAUUAGGCAAAUUACCUUCAAGAAAAUUGAAAGACAGAUACAAAUUAGUCAAACCUGGAAAAGUUUCUUUUCCAAAGAAUUCAGGGAUUACACCAACUAAACUAGCAUUCAUAGCAGAAAAAACUUUAAGGGCUAAACAAUUCUUAAGACUAGAAGGAAUUUGCCACUGAGGAAAAGGGUUAUAACCAAUACUCACCUCUAUCAAAUUACUCAUGUUUGUGAAGAAAUCACUUGGCAUGGAAGUGAAAUUGUUGUUGUUAAUAUACAAAAACUGAAGUGAACUUGGCAUGUAAGGAAAAUCACCAGAUAAAGCGUUUCCAUUGCACUCAAAACGAUUUAACUGAGUGAGUUGCACCAAUUCUUUUGGUAAAGAACCUUGAAUAUUCAGACCUGCAAUUUGAAUUGCAGUGACUGUGUUUCCAUUAAUCUGAACACGAUUCCAUUUGCGAAAAUCUGAGUCUGACCAAUCAAGAUCAUUGCUUGAUGAUUUUAUAGAACUUUUCAGCUUUUGCAUAACAACAUCAUCUUGAGACCAUGCAGAAACAAACAUCAUAGAAAACAACACAACAAGGUGAAGAACGUAGGAAACUCUGAAACCCAUUAGGGUUUUUUGUUGUUGAAAAAAUAGGGUUUAUUUAGAAAAAAACUGUGGAAAGUGGCGUAACAGAAGAGAGAAUAAUUUUGCAAGAUUGAAGGAAUAAAUCUCUUAAUAACGCUGAAUUGUAGGGUUAUGAAUGACAAUGAUUCUGCUAAAAAAGGGAAUAUUUUUGAAGAGAGAAUCAAGUGAAAGAGAAAGGAAAAAAUAAUGCUUUUUUUGGUAUGAAAAUCCUUUUGAUACGGCGGAGAAAGAGUAAGAAGAAUAAAGAGUUAAGAGACUAGACAUUAACUGAAGUUUUUUUUUGAAAGAAGACAUUAACUGAAGUUUAUGUGUACUUUUUGUGUUUGGUUUUAUUUUGUAGAGGUGAUUUUUUUAUGUUUUUUUUUUUUUUUGGUGUACUUUUAUGUUUGUUGUUGAAUGUGUGUUAAUCUCUCCUAUCAUAAAAUUAAAUAAUUUUUUUUUUUUAUUUUCAAAAUUAAAUUAUAACUUUUUUUUAGACAAAAAUUAAAUUAAAACUUAAACUUGAUAAUUUUUGUUUUUAUGGUAUAAUUAAUAGUCACUCCCUUCAAAAAAAAAAAAAAAUAGUCACUCAUACCCUAUUAUCGUAUCAUAUUUAUUAAAUUUUUUUUUUUAUCAGAAACAAAGGUUGGGCCCUUUUAUUUUAGGAAUCAAAUCAAUAGUAUAACAAAAAAAAACCUUUUACAUUAUUAUCUACCAUACUUAUUAAAUUACUUUUUUGGGAAAAAAGAGUUUACUAUGCCCUUUUCUCUCUAAAUCAAAUAGUUUUAACAAAAAAACAUUCUGUCAAAAACAAAAAACUUAUUAAAAAUCUUUGAUAAAUUAUAAUCAUUAGUGACAAAUAUUUGUCACGUAGUCCCCGUGAGCUUAGCUCAGUUGGCAGAAACAUUGCAUAAUUUAUAUAGGGGUCGGGGUUCGAACCCCGGACACCCCACUUCUCCACAUUUAAUUGUGUGAGGUCCGGCCACUAGACUACUAGACAAAAAAAAAUAUUUGUCACGUAUUUUUUAAGUAUUAGUGACAAUUAUUUGUCAUAUCCUCUCCCCAUCAGACGAGUCUGAGGCUUGAUAGCAAUACUAUUGUUGAAAUGGAAGGCACCGAUGAGGCGGAAAAUGUGGCUUAUAAGCAUACUUCUCCCCAACUAGACAAGCAUGAGGGGAGGGUAAAACUUGAAAGGAAUAAAACCAUUCUAGAGACACAUGAAGGAAUGAUGUCUUAGUCUAAGAUAGAGAAUAUAUUCGAGUUCAAAAAACUCGUAGAAAAAUAUACAUCUUUAUCUCCAUCUAAAGACCUUAACAGAACUCGAACUCGGGAUCUCCUAAUCUAAAACAUAUCCUUUUAUUAUAGAAGCGUAAAUUGAUAUUAUUAUUCGUAUUUAUUUACAAUUUCCAUAAGGUUAUAAUGGUUCGUACAUUGCAUCAGUGGAUGACUUUGCAAAUGUAGGAUGCUUUUUGCAUGACCACGAGAUUGGAUUUGAGCCAAAGUAUACCAAUGUUUCAUGCCCAAUCUGAAGCACAGAAUCCUUGAAUAGAAGGAGUAGAAUCACACGAUCCAAUCCAUGAUCAAUAGUUCCCUUGAGAUGGCGAAGACCACAUUUGGAAGUCAACAAAUUUGACAAGUGUUCGAAAUUGUUCUAAGUAAUACAUUAGUAAGUUCUCGUUUUCAUACGAAUUGUCAUUUGUUACUAGUCAAUUUAUAAUGAAAAAUUUAUGUAUGAUCGUAUCUUUAGGGACAAACCAUUUUUUUUUUUUUUGUAAAUGAUCUUACAACGAAGCGAGUAAAAUACAAUCAGUAUUAAAUUCACUUGUGAGAAAUUAAAGUAAAGGGUAUUCGACCCAUCAAAUAUCCUUUUUCAUAGUUAAAGUGAAGUUGUUUUACAUCCAUAAGCUAAAUUUCUGAAGCUAUCUUAAGCCAUCCUUCAUUAUCAACAAAACUGUCACUCGCCAUUAUAUUAACGGUUGUCCAAUCCAACUUCUUCAACCAUUUCACUCGUUUGUUUGUUUUAGAACCAGCUCCAAUAUUUCCAUACUCUGCAAAUUGUAUGUAGUUCCUGUAAAAACGAGUGUAGAUAUAAUGACGAUGAUGGAAGACACGAGUUCUAUUCACCAAUUAUAUAAUGACGAUGAUGAACAAAAAAAUAAUGGAUGUAAAUUAGGGAUCUUACUCGUGAUCGGCGAAAUACCAUGGCGCCCAACCAGUAGGUACUACAAUGUCGGACAUAUUGGUAUUGUAGAAUAGAACUCUAGCAUAAGCUCUCCAUGGUCUUCCCAAGUAUGUUGUUCCAUCUCCAUACACAUUACAAUUCUUAAAAACAAAACCAUUUGCAUCAUUUUCACCUGUUCUCCCUUGUGCUGUAAUAAAACCAGCAAUCCCUUGACCUAGAGCAGAAGCAAUUACAGAUAUAGAACACUCCUGCAUAAUUUUUAUUUUUUUUUUGGUUACAUUUUUUAUAAUAAGUAAAUAAACUAUAAACAUCCAAAUAUACUUCGAUAAUCACUUUUUAAACUAAAUAAGAAGUUCUAUAAUUUUAACCAAUACUCUAGAGCACACUGGUUAGCAAGACGCUGUAAUUUUGAAUCAUUUAUUCGAUACAACCAUAAGAAUUAUUACCUCAUAUAUAGACUGGCCAGCACCAAAUAUGAAAUCAACAGCACCUUGAAUCAAACAAUUCUUGUAGUAAUGUCUUCCUUGAUCAUCCCACAAAGUGUCUUGAAAACCAAAGAAGCCGACAUUAUAGAAGUAAGUCUUGUCACCACUUACCAUCGCAGCUACGGCAGGGGCCCAUGGGUUACUAUUUCUUGGAUUAUUGUAUGAAUUCUGAUUCCAGAGAUAUAAAGAGUCAAAUUUAUUGCAUGUUCAGCUCAAAGGAGAUACAAAUCAAGAUAAAACAAAUAUUCAAUUCUAGGCAAGACACGACAUAUACUAGCAAAAAAGAAACGUAAGGGGAAAAUAUGGUGAUUAGUAUAAAUAUGAUUAUCUUUGACAGGAAACUUUAGUUAGGAAUUUCAUUAUAAAAAUCUACAUGUAAAUGUAAAUGCAUAUUACACUAUAUAUUAAAACUAAUUGAUUAUAUUUGUUGAGAAAAAACUUUUCUUCUAAUCUAUUUAUAUGAAAAAAAAAAAAAAUUAUACGAAAAAACUGCUCUAAGCUCACUAACCUUACUACCUACUUGAGACUAUUUAGUUGCAAGUAAAUGUGAGAAUAUGUUAAAUCGAACUAGGCUUUGUAAUAAGACCUAAGUCUGAUCUGUCAAUAAUUUUAAUGCCUAAGCUAAGCCUAAGACUUGUCAUAAACUUAUUUUUUUAGGCAUAUUACUAAUCGUUCGAAAGUCUGAUCUGGUCUACUAACAUUUCUAAAAACUUGUUUUAUAUGAGCAUAUUCAAAUAAUUAAUGUGAUAUAAAUUUAAAUAGACUAACAAACUAAUAUAUCAAUUAUAUUAAUCUCCCUUUUCAUAUUUAACAUGAAUUUCUACAAAAUUUGACUAUAUAUUAAGAAAUAUUUCAAUUCUAGUUUAUGAUAAUACAUUUGCAUAUGGGAAAAAUUAAUGUAUACUAAUAAACUUAAAUAACAUUAAAGAUUAACAAAUUUAUAUUUUGAUUCAAAGUAAAAAAUAUAAUAAUAUUUGUAAUAAAUAAUAAUAAUAUUUCAUUCGAUAUCAUGCCCUCUAAACUCUAAAAAACUAAAAGAGUUAUUGAAAAUGUAAUUAAAUUAUACUAAGUAACAAUAAGUGAAUGAAUGGGAAUGAGUAACUAUUAUGUAAGAAGAGAAGUCCACAAUAGGCAUUAAAAUGAAAAAGCAAGGUAUUAUUUCUCACCCUAAAGCUAAUAAACCUGACCACAAUAUUGUCAGCCAUGGUGAAGAACGUAGGGCUCUGUAAAGUAGUUGCAUGGUCAUUCCAUUCAACUAUUGUCUUGCUCAUCCCCGCUCCUUGUAUAAUAAUGUAGGGUUUAUCAUAAGGAAUCUUCAACUUCUCCCUAUACAAAAUAAACCACCACAAAAUUCAACAAUUUUUCAUUUAAAUAUCGAUAUUAAUUUGUUGUAAGGAAAUAUUAGUAUACAACUGUUCUAUGAUAUCCCACAUAGUUCUACUUAAUCUGGUAGGUGCAACUCAGUUUUUAGCUACUCGAGACAUUUUUUUACAAGGGAUCGGGGUUUGAACACAGAAUUACAGACUUAUAGUGUGUAAACCUAGCCAUCAGACUAAUUAAUAAAAAAAAUUAUCAUUUAAAUGUAAUGAUGACACUAGAAAUACAAUAUGGUUCAACAAUCGAUUUCGAUAUAUAAAUUAAUGAAUUUGUCUCCAAGAAAAAUAAUGAUGAAAACUACUUAUAAUUUUACCUGUAGAUGCCUUCUUUAAUAUUGAUGGAAGUCCAAUACCUAUUGUUUGAAGGUAUGGAAUCAAUAGCAGAUUGUAUGGUAGAGAAACAUCCAUGGUGCCCCUUGGGAUCAACUGUUAUUUUCUUGGUAGAGUAACCUAUUUUCUUGUAUGGUAGAGAAACAUCCAUGGUGCCCCUUCGGUGAAUUUGAGCAUUUGAUAGCUCUACUCCCAAACCAACCAGGAGAAAUAGACAAGUAAAAUAACACCAAUGAAAAGACAUAAUUAUUGGUACAAAAGGGAUUUUCAAUACCCUAAAAAAAUCAAGAGAUUUUCAAAGUAGAAAAAUUUGGUUCUUAGCUUGAACAAGAAAAAAAUUACAAUAAAACGAAUUGAAAGGUGAAGUAUGUAUUUAAAGAGUUACUAGUAAGAGGAUUUUUUUUUAUUUUUUUUUAUUUUAAGGAAGCUAGUAAGAGUUUUUUUGAGGGAAUGAAGACAGUCAACUUAAUCAAGGUUUACUAAGGAAAGUGUUCCACUAAUGGUAUGUCAUAUUUAUGAUUCUCAAAAAUCAUAGUCAAUUUUUGUUUCCAAUUGUAAAUAUAAUAAUGCAAUAAUAAUAAAUAUUCUGAAUGUCAAGAGAAUUAUUAUGUUUUUUACAAUACAAUGAUGGUAACUUUAUUUUGAUAUCGUCAAAUUAAUUGCAAUUUAUUUUAUUUUUUUGAAAGAAAAUUAAUAUCACUUCUUCUUUUGUUUGACCUUUGGUUGAACUAAUUAAAUGUCAUGAUAAUUUUCCAAAUCAAAAUCACAGCCUAGACCUAUAAAACUAACUAUGUACAUAUGGGGUCAUAGCCUUGAGUUUUAGUUUUAUUAUUGGGACUAUUGAUGGCCUCCACUCCACAUACCAUUUUUUCCUUUAAAAUUUGUUAAAAAAAUAGUUUUCAUCAAUUAAUGUGCAUUUUAAUUACUUUUUUUGUUCGGAUUGGUUACAAUGAUUCCAUGAAUUUGUCAAAAAGAAUUAUUCAUUUUAGGAAUAUUUUAUAUGCUAUAUGUGCAAUUAAUUGUCCUUGUCAUAGUACAUUUAAGAAAAAUGUUAUUAUUUAAUAUUUAUCGUAUAUUUAUUUUAUGUUUGAAAUUUUUCAAAUAAAAUGCAUCAUUUAUACUCCUCCCGGUCUUAAUUAUAUGCAAAAGUUUAUUUUUUGAAUUCAUUCAAUGAUUAAUGUAUUUGGUCUGUAAUACAUAACAAAUACAUUAGUCAUAUACUCUUUCAAAAAAAAAAAAAAUACAUUAGUCAUAUACUCUUUCAAAAAACAAAAAAAUACAUUAGUCAUAUUAAAUGAAUCUAAAGAGUGAUUUUUUUUUUUUUUUGAAAGAUACAGAAAGAGUGAAUUUUUGUUUAUGAUAAAUGUUACUUAUUUUUUUUAAAAGAAAAAGAGAAAGAGGGAAGACUAAAGCCAAGACCCUAGAGGAAAAACAAAAUAAAUAAAAAUAAAGAAAGACAACAAAAAAUACACCAAAGGACUAGACAUGGCAACGAGGUGGGGCGGGGCUGGGUUUUAACAUACCCGGCCCCGCCCCCACCCCCAAACCCGACGGAAAAAGAAACUUUACCCCCGUCACCCCCACCAGCGAAAAGUGUAGCAAAAUAAAUAAAAAAUAUUCACAGUAAGCCUGUUAAAAUUCGCGGUUUAUGUUGACUAAAAUGGUUCAUUAAUUGCACCUUAACAAGUCUACAACAUUGCAUAAAUUUGAAAAAACGGUUUAACAAAAUCAAUUAUAUACACCUAGUAUGACCAUAGUAUUUUGUGUUAUUUAUUCCUGUUGAUUUAAACCAUAUUCUUAUGGAAAAGUGUCAAAAAGACCACAUAUGUUAAGAAGUCUUAAAAUAAAUGUUGAAUUUGAUUCUCUAUUUCACUUUCAUAUUUUGGAAUUUUGAAUUUCUACAAACAAUAUAGAUUGAAAUCAAAAUUAAUGAAAAUAAAUCCAAUUUUUCGGAGAAAAACAAUACGAGUGCGGGGCGGGGGUGGGUGUGAGUAUCCCUCGACCCUGGCCCCGCAUUAAAACUCCGGGUUUUUAGCCCAUUAUUCACUUAGAAACUCCUUAGCUUGUUAGGUUUUUGUAGGAACUAACCCUAAAACUUUCAUGUCAUGAAUAACAUUUACAUUAAAUCUGACAAGUUAGAGUCUGUCGCCACCAUGACUCGACCAAAAGGCUCCUGGGUUGACGUGUGGGUGACAUGAUCUCCCAAAGGAAGAGAGUCUGCUACUACUUCAACAAAGGAAGUCAUGCAAUUCCAAGAAGUGGUAUUAUUUAUAUAGUAGAGAUCAGUGAUUGCAUCACUCCAAAGACCAACUAUACGCAUAUCCAAAUAUUGGUUGCUCUAAUGAGCCUCCCUCUUUUCAACUGUAUAUGAUAUUCACUGUAUUUAAUUGAGUACAUUACAGUCUUCUUCGCUAAGAGAGGUUGAAAUUACAAUACCCUUUAAUCUUAUGUUAAAAUAAACAACCCCUCCUUUCUAACUCAAAAUAUAUUAGAGAAAUCCGCUCCUAUGCCCUAAAUGAUGAUUUUUUUUUUAACACCAAAAUUUAUUAGAUAGUGAGAGAAGUUAAAAGAGUAUUUAACCCAUAAUUUUAAAAAAGUACAAGGGGUACUCGCCUCGAAGGGAAAAAAAAACCCAACAUCAAGAAAUAAGACAGUAUAUGGUUCGAAAACCAUUUGUAAAACAAACAAAGACUCCCUAAUUUCCUAGAAAUAAACCAUCUCCAAGAGGUGACAUUGAUCGCGUCUACAAUCUCGUCCAAGUCCCAAUUUUUAGCAGAAAAAAUAACCUAUUAUUAGCUUCCCAAGUUUUCCAAAUUGUUGCAUGCCAAAUGAGUGAAAGCCGCUUUCAAUUUUUUUAGCCAAAGAAGAUGACGAAAAAUAGUCAAGGAGUAAAACAAUAUUACGUGUAAAUUCACCCAAUUCCGAUCCAUUUAAAAAUGGGAGCUUCUAUGAUGUCGUCUUAAAAAAUAAUUAAUAUGUCGCUUUUGAGAAAAACACUUAAAAUCACCUUAAAAAACUUUUUUUUUUAAACGUUUUUGAAGGAAAAGUAAAAAUGAAUUAAAUUAAUACUAACUGCAUUUUUUCCCUCUUAAAAAUCACAUUUUUUUUUAAUAUCCAAUAAAAGAAACUUCAUAAAAAUAAAUUCUUUGGAAAUUUUCCUAUUUGGUAAAAUAAAAUUUAAAGUGUUGAAUAAAAAACUUUAAUCAAUAUUUUUCAUUUGCACAUAAUUUUUAUGUAUUUUACCAUAAUAAGCACAAUAAAUUCAAAACAAAUGCUCCCUAAAAAAAAAAAUAAUCAAAACAAAUGUUAAAAAUGAUAAAUUAGAAAUGUAGAUUUCAUUCUUACUUUUCCGUUUGAUUUUUUUUUUUUUUUUAACAAUAAAAAAUGGAACUUAUAUUAACAAACCACGGACACCUCCAACUACAAGAUGUACCAAGGAGGCUCAGAGUAUUUACAAAUAUACAGAGUCAAACAAAAAUUAGCCUAGUCCCAAACAAGUCAAAGGACUUGACCACCACAAUUGGAACCCAAAAACAAAAACAACAUUAUGAGCUUUUAGCCACCAAAGAGAGUUCUGCUUUACUUUAUCCGUUUGAAAUUUUUUAAAUAAUAUAAUAUUUAAAUUGGUUUUUAGUUCAUUUUCUUAAAUGACGGUUUUAAAAUCGUCAAAUAUGCAACAACAUGGUAGAAUUUUCCUUUAAAAAUUACAUACCAAAUCCUUCCAACAAAGCUACAUCUACAAAAACAAGUGAUCCUCUACAUCUUGAAUAUAUACAUGGGUACGAAAUACAAUCCGAAGUCACACCAACGACAAAACUCCUUUACAAGAAUACUCGGGAACCACACAUAGUCUAAAGUCAUACCAAUCUGCAUAGUUUCUCUACUAGAUAAGCUUGAUCGAUUCGCAAGUCUACCAACACCAAGAGAUGAUUAAAUUACUCUCCUUUCCCUUGUUAAGUUAAAAUUUACAUUCUCCUCCUUUCAUUUUAAACUUCUUAGACAAUUUUAAUACAAUUAAAUAUCUAUUAUGCUUAUUUUUUUCACAAUUUCGUUAAUAUCAUAUUAUAGCUUUGAAGUAAAAUAAGAUAAAAUAUAAAUAUUGAAUUUCAUCAAAUAUAAAAAAGUAUUGGACACGUGAUUAAAAUUGAUAAAGAAAAGGCUUAUUAAAUUUUAUAUUCUAAAAUCAUAAAAUUAAUAAUGAAUAUUUAAAUUUAAUUAUUAUUAACAUUUGGAGUUAUAAAUAAAGGGUCUUGUUAACAAAGAAAUUAUUUCUAAUGCAAUAAAUGCACAAACUUUCAUAAAAUAUUACCACUUUGGAUGCUUAAAGAGUAUCCUAGGGACACUCGUUAGCAUUUCUCAUUAAUAAAUUAAAGUUCAUUUCUUAAAUGGUUCCUUGAAUCUUUUUUUGACAGAAAAUGAUGAUUCCAAGUUAAUUAUUAUUAUAAAAAUGUUUAUUUAAAUGAAAAUGGGUUAACAUAUAAUCCAUAUUUAAUUCUCAAGAGAGUGAAGUGUAAUCCAAACAUCUCAUAAGAGAUGAGAGUAUGAUUUUCUUUACGUAUUUAUUUUUAAAGAGAACAAUGAAAUUCAAACAUCUCAGAAAGAUGAGAGUGUAAUUUUCUCUAUUUAAUUUAUUUAAGUAUCAGAACAUGACUUGGGUUUAAGGAUGUUAAAGGGGUAAAGUCGGGUGCGGUGCUCCUCAAUUCCAAGUUGCACUACACAGGGAGAUUUUUAUUAUUAUUUUAUGUACACAUGCAAUCAACGUAAAAUAAAUGUUUUUUUUUUUUUAUUAUUUUAUAUCAAAACUCGUGGACUUUGAAAACCUAUUUUUUUUAUAGGCAAAAAUAGAGAGGUUAAGCAUCAGGGAGAAGCUUAAACAUCCCAACUAGGUUGGCAUCCAACAGCAACUCUCAUCCUUUGUCGCCUUCCUAAUACGUAAUAAUAUUAUUAAAGUAAGGAAAUAUUUGUACAAAAGAGGGGGGACUAGGCCAAUACCCUCAAAAAAAGAAAAUGGAACGACAAAACAGAAACUAAAAAGACUAUAAAUGGCUACGAGAAUCUAUAAUUAGGAAGCCCAUUUAUGUCUUUAGUAAAAUCAAUCGUCAAUGAUACUAUCAUAGGUCGGAACCAAGUAGUAUUAGGCAUGUCAUGCCCCAAUGCAGCCAAAGUGUCUGCACAACAGUUUUCUUCCCUUCAUUGAGAUGAUGGGAGGGGACCCUAUGAACGGGUUUGUAUGCUCCAAGUGCUGCACAAAUGGUACAUUCGCAGUGGCCGAGCGUGAUUGCUCCUGUUCCACUGCAAUAAUUUUGUGAUUCACUGCCUCUUAUGGAAUAUCUUGUUGUUGUACCGUAAUGGUAUGUGCCUCUGCUUCAGCAAUUACCGGGUCCUUAUUUGUCUGAGGUGCUGCAAAAGCAAUAGAGGAACCAAUACCCGACAGGUUGUCUUUGAUAGGUGCCCAAGUUUGCUUUGGUACUGGUGCUGGUUUUUUUGCCUUGGACAAUAUUUUUUUGUGAACAAUAUUGCCCUUCUUUGGAUAUAGCCACCGACAUGAGGAUAUGUCAUGGCCUAUGGUAUGACAAUGUGUACAGUAAUCCGGAAGCCACUCAUAGGCCACCUCCACCUGAAACGCAUACCCUUCUCUCUGAACCCCGUAAUUUCAUGAAAUAUUUGUCUUGAAAAGUCCAUGUCGACAAGUAUGUGUGCGUACUGCCAGUAGAUGCGCUUGGAAGUUGCACUGUCAAUAAGGAGUGGGGUGCCCAAAGCACUAUCCAUCCAUCCAAUACUCUUGAGGUAAUUCCAAAAGUCGGAUCCACACUUGUGCAUGAGUGUUACGAUGUUUGUUCAUAUUAAAAUAUUUUUGCCAUUCAAACAAACGGAGAACACCUGGUUUCAAAUUAAUCGCCCCCAUCGCCCAUGUCAUGCGCAUAUCCUCUUCAGAUGAAAAAAAGAACUCGUAGUAACCCCUGCCUAAUGACGUGAUGGACCAUGCCCCUUUUGUUUUCCAGUGAUUAUGAAGUUUAGAAUAGAUGUCUUUUGUAGUAUAGGGUUUGUCGCCCUUAUUCAGAACCAGACGUCCACGAAGGUUGCGUUUACAGAAAUCCAUACAUAUCUCAUAUAUGUCAUGUGUAAUAUGUAUGCUAACGGUAUCGCCACAGAUCAAGGGUUGCGGUAGACUAUCAUUGCUUGCGGUAGUUAUUGUCGAGGCGGUCAGCGCUUGAGCAAAAGAAAUUUUCUGCACUGGUUUGGGAGGAGGAGGAACCGUCGCAGCUGAUGAGGUAUGAUUCACAAUGGUCCUUCCCAAUGGUGCGGCCAGCUCAGCCUGCCAAUCAAAGGCCAUGGCCAGGCUGAACUCGGCAACGGUCAGAAACGCGAUCAGAUAUCAGAGGUCUAAUCGAAAUUGCAAUUCAAUGGAUGAAGAAAGCAACACGUAACCUGAUUCGGUAAUUUAAUUCUGGAUGAAUUUCCCAACUAACCUCACGUGAAUUAAAUUGAAGAGUGGAGUUAAUUGUAACAUAGCAAUUUCAUGAAUUUCUCUUUAACUUGGUUGCUAUAACCUAUAUACAUAUAAUAAGUAGUCCCUAGAGUAUGUAAACUCUAUCAAUUUAGUUCUCAAAUAUAUACCUCAGUAACAUCACAUUUUGCUAGUUUUGUUCUCAUGUAGGAGAACAAGUUAGUCUUACCAAAUGAAAGGUUUAUUUCUCUAAAAAUACUUCUAAAUCCAUUGUAAAGUAUAUCAGCAAUAUUUUAAAUAUUGAAGUCACUAAUGAUUUUGGGAAGUAUCUUGGUAUCCCUGUUAUCAAUGGAAGAAAUGAUAAAUCCUCUUAUCCCCGUUAUCAUGGAUUAUUAGGAAUGGUCAUUCAAUCAUAAUCAGUGCCUUCCUUUGGAAGCUCGAUCAUGGGAAGCUCGAUGUAUGCUAUGCUAUAUACUGAUGUUUGCCAAAGACGCUCUCAAGCCCUAGUUAGAUAUCAUAUUUGAUUUAGUUAAAAAUAUGUGAGAUAAUUUUAUAUUAAUGGAUGAUGAAAAGUAAGCUCUUUUUUAGUCUUAGUUUAUUCCAAUGGACCGACUUUAAUAUUAGUACGUCUAAUAUUGGCUCGAUUCGUGGGCAAUGGCAAUCGGUUCUAGGUGUCAUGGUUUUGAUUGGAACCAAUUCGUUUUCUCAUAGCAUGUCGAUGAUAGAUUCAGAAUUUUAAUCUGUAUGGAAAAGUUUUUAUACCGUGAUUUUUUUUUUUUUUAUUAUCUCUUAGAGGUAAUUGAAACAUAAAAGAGAUGGAAUUUCUAAAUUGUCAUCUAAAGGCUCCACUUCGUCUAUAAAUCUUAGAAGGAAAUCAACAUACCUCAUCUUACCUUAGUAGUUCUACAAAUGGACAUCCCUAUCUCGUCUAUAUUACCAAGAGAAAAAGAGUAAUAAAAUUCAUAUGCAAUGUCCACAGUAGUGUCGCUCUAUUUCUAAGUUCAAACAUCAUCCCUAGGAAUGUUACCUUCCUGUUCAUCUAUCGUGGCCAGCUUUGCGUCGCCGUGUUUUGACGUUGUGAGGAUGGUUUUAUUCAGAUUUGUGUUUUCUUGUGUUGGUUCGUGGAUUCUUGAGUGGUGAGUCAGUGUGUGGUUCUUUGUUGGGUCGGUGGUUGUUCUCUCUGUGCCUUCCUUCUUGGUUUCGGUCAUCCUCACAGUUUAAAGCCUUUGAUUUCUGGUUCCUUUCUGAUGUUUGGAGAUCUGCUGAUUUCUUGGUUUCCGAUUCGCCGCCUUUACGACGGUGGUCUUGGGGAAGUUUUGGUGUUCCUAUUCGCUUUGGUUGUUAAUGUACCGUGCGUUGGUUUUUUACGAUGGUUCAGUAAACCUGAAAGGGUCUGUUACAAAAACCCGAAAGAAUCUGAUUCGUUUAACCCGAAAGGGUCUGGUUACGGGCGUACUGAACUCAUACCAUGAUCUGAGUUCUUACGCGUUGUUUUCUCGAAAGAGCUUUUAUUCUUGAUGUUGUUCAGGGAGUUGUUGGCACUUGGAUUUUGUUACCGUGUUAGCGGUCGAUCCAUUCGCCAUAAUUACACUCCAACUAUUCUUUGCAGAUGUUCACUUUUCAUUCUUUUUUGUAACAUGGUUUCACGCCUGUACGUGGGUUCGUUGGGUUGCGCCAGUGAUUAUUGAAUUUUUGUUAGGAUAGAUUAGAGUAUAUCCACUUAGGUUGAUUUAUCACGAUAUAUUCACAUUUGAGUUUUCUUGGGUCAUGUCCUAUGCCCCCCACAAUCUUUCUAUCUUUCCUUUUUAUUAAAAUUGAUCCAACAGAUAAAAUAGAGAGAACCAUACCCAUUUUUUAAUUGCAUAUAUUAUGGAUUGUCCCUAACAAUUGAGCUAAGCUCACGAAGACGAACCAUGUCCACUUAGAGUUUAGUUACUCAUGGUAGCUAAAGACCAAAUUACAAAAGAACAGAACACACCUUAAAGACUAAGGAUGAGGAGGGAAACUCCUUCAUUGAAGCUCACAAUGUUUGCCUUAAAGUGAGUUUUGCGUGAAAAACUGUGCUUUUUCUUCAAGCCUGUAGAAGAAAAACAACAAAAAUUGUUUUUCACCUGAAGGUGUACGCCCCUCGUGUGUGAGAGGGCACGCCUUGUGGGGUGGCACUUCAGACUUUGUAUUUGGUGACUUUGUUGAUUUUAGUGUAUUUUAGAUGAAAGAGAAUGAUGAUUGAAUGAUUAUAAUAAAUUAUUUUGAUGAGAGAGAAUUAUUGGUUAUGAGAGAUAUAGAAACAAAGACAUCCAAAGACACCAAAGUACUACCCCGCCUUGUGCUCUAGUGCAAUUUUUGUACGACAUGGGCGCGCAACAGCUUACCCGAGGCGCACCAGUACAUUUUUUUCUUUUUGGUGGGGUGCGACGGCCUAUGCAGUAGUGCAACACAUAAGCUACACUUGAAAAGCUCAAUAGCAAGCUAUCGAAAUGGCCUCUCCCCCUUAAAAAAAGUAAUUUAAUAUCGUGUGACCCAUUGAACCACAUAUCAUAUAUUAAACUGAUAAGAACAGAUAGUACACUUGAUCUUAGUCAAAAGGCCGAGAAAGGUAAAGGCGCACCAGCACAUUGAAUCAAUAAUUAGCUAUAAAAAAUGGAUGAUAAAGCUUUGAAUAAAAAAUAAAUUAGAUUGAAUCAAAAUAUCAUUGAUGCAAGUAAAAGCUUCCAUUUGCAACACAUUCGGAAAGAACCAACAAAUUUGUAUGCGUUGUAUCGUAGAUCUACGUUGGAUUACCGCCGGCACCAGCACAUGCAUUGGGGACAGUACGUAGUAAUUUUUUUGAGUCUCGGACGUCGAUAUAGUUAGUACUCUCCAGAUUUAAAUAUAAGAAGAAAAAAAAAGUCAUAUUCACCUUUUAAGAUUCACAAGUGAACGUCCUCGUGAGCGCUUAGCUCAGCUGAUAUGGACAAUGUAUAAAAAUAUGUAACAUCUGUGUUCGAACCCCAACCACCAUCAAAAAAAGAUAUAUAAGUGAACUUUUCAACAACAAAAAAAAGAGUGAACUUUUCAAAUAUAUAAGUGAAAUUUAAUUAACUUCACUAUAUUUAACGUUAUUCUUGAGAAAAAUGUUUAAUUUUUAGAGAAGAAUUAUUGGUCAGAUUUUACUUACUUCUAAACCCAACUGUGGAUUAUCAUAAUUAUUUUCCCGUGAAAAUUGGAGGUUUACAAAAAUAAAAAUCUCAAAAAAGCUAGUCUAGAAAUACAAUUAUAUUCUUGAUCACAUCAACAAAAUUAAAUGAGAUUAAUUAUAUUUACUUUUUAUCAAAUAGUCUACUAACAAGAAUUUUACACUUAAUGUGUGGAGAAUGGUCUCUACAACCAUCAUCUAAAUUAUACUUACGAAACAAAUUAACAUUCAUAAUUGCUGUAUAAUUAAUAGUAACUUUUUCAACAUUAUUCACCUAGAAUUUAAUUCACCCCUCUCUUUUUUGUCUCUUUUUCAAUAGUGAAUUUUAUCCCAUCAUCUUUUAUAGUAUCACCUUUUUUUUUCUUUUACAUUUACCUAUUUUAGUCAACAUAUCCAUUUGUGACAAACAUGCACCUGUCAUUUCGGUGGAACAUAUAAGUAAAUUUCCAUGUUCUUUCAUAAUUGAUGUACUAUAUUGUCAUAUAUUAUAUAUAACUUGCUAGGUUUGCUUUCCUUAUUUUUUGACCCCUAUAAAAAAUAAAAAUUUAGUUUAUCCAUUUUGAUGAAUAUUUAACUACAGCUAGGGAGCUAACAACCCUUAAAUUAUGGCUUUGCACAUUGUACACUAGCCAUGAUUUCCCAUUUUAUUUUUAAUAAUUUAAAGACCAAAACAAAGUCAAUUAUAAUGUUUUACUUUUAUAAAAGUGCACACAUAUAUGGUCUUGAUAUUAUAAUGCUCUUUAUAUAAAGCAUUCAGUACAAUGUCUCUUUUGCAAAACAGGUAGAUGAUUGAUAAAAGGACUACAUGAUUUCAUGUUUAUUAAUUUAAAUUAUUUUUUAAUUUUAUUUAUCUUUCCCCAUUAUAUAAAUUAUAAAGUCAUCGUCACAAUAGUUGUUAAAUCCAGAGGUGUAUGUAAUUAUUAAUUAAACAAAUGCUAUGAAAACUAUCCUUAUAUAAAACAAGUUGCUAUAUGAUAUAAAUUGUUCUAUAUAUUUUAUUUAAAUUCAAAGAUAUAGAACCAAAAACAGAAUGUUCUAAUAUAGCUAGAGUAGUCUAGAAUUAACAUCAUAUACAAUACAUGUAUGAGCUAGGUAAAAAAUGGGAAAUAAAUAUCAUAUUCAUAGUUGGAAAAGACACCCUAAGAUAGCUUCAAUCUGAAAAAAUUGAACAACUUACACUACACCUAAACUCAAUAAUUUUAGGUCCAAAGAGGUUGGUGGUGUGGUCAUCCAUUCAAAUAACUUUAACAUAAUUAGUUGUCCAAAAAUGGAAAAAAAUAACUUUAAUUCUUUUAUCUUAUAUUUUUACUAUAUGCUUUAAUUGUAUAUUUCUUACAUUAUAAGAAUCCAAAGGCACUCUCUUUUUUCCAUCUUAUUUCUCACAUCCUCUCUAAUCUUUUCACCUCAUCAAUAUGAUUACAAACAAAUUCAAAUUAAACGACUCCAAUUUACAUUUGUAUUUUCUACUAAAUUUAUCAAAAUGGGGACUAUUAUUUAACCUCAAGGAAUAUGAAUAUAUUACCACAUUUCAUAUAAUGGAACUAAUAAUGCACGAGUAGAUCUCAAAAUUAUCAUCUCAUUUCAUGUUUAAAAUGGUCUAAUCAAAUGUGAUAAGUUAUUUUUCUUUAAUUCAAAAACCAUCACGAAUUUGAUGUAAUAUUUAUACAUAAUAAUUCAGAUGCGUUAUAUAACACGGCAUUGACAAAUCUUCAAGAAAGUGUUAGAGAGGUGCACGAUGGCAUAUUGAUCAAUUUAAAUAUUAUUAAUUAGUAGGAAUAUCCACAUUUGGGACACAAAUAUUAUAUUAAUGCACACAUUAUAAUAUGGUAAUUUUGUUAAAUGGCAUAUGCACCGCAAUUCAAGUCACUGCCACUGCCAGCUUUGCCCUAAGAUAGAGCUGUAAAUAAAGAAAUAAAGCUAUUGCAUAAAAUCAAAAGGUUACAAUAUUUCUCUUCAAAUAACUAGCACAUCAACUAUGACGAUAGUGCCAGCCUUUUUUGUUCCAAGAGAAAAAUAUAUUAAGAGUGUCCUUUCCACUUUUCUUUUGUAUCUCCUUAACAUGCGGUUUAACAACAAAAAUCGGCAAUAUUAGGAGAAAUGAUAGUAUUAAACAAAGACUUUUUCAAAAUAGAGUUAUUAAAGUGGUUCAUAAUUAAACUUCGGUUAAAAAUAAUAGUCUAAAAGAAUCUGUCUUAAGAGCCUUAUAGUAAGUGAUAUAUGAUCUAACAAUGUGUUCAUAAGUAAAUACCGUUGUUGAGCGAUGAUUACAAAGAAAGUAGAUGUCUUAUGUGAAAAAUAAUACCUAAUUCAAUUCAUCGCGAAUGUUGGAUGCGUAAGCAAUUAAAAAAAAAAAAAGUAAAUACCGUUGUCAAAUUAGAAAUCAAUUUUGUAAGGUUAAGUUAGGUACAACCCAAAAUUUUAAUAAGGCAUCGGAGUCUAUCCUAUAUCAGUUUGGCCACCACCUAUAAGGUCAUCACUAUUGGAUCACACUCCAAACACGUGAGGAGGUGUUAAGAUUCUCGUUUCUUUAUAUCAAUAAAACGUAAAUAAAGUUUAUAAGUAUGGACGAUCGUCACUUGCAAAUAAGUUUUGUAAGAUUGAGAUAGGAUCAACUCCAAUUCUAAAAUCCCGAGUUUAAAUUCUAGUAUUUGGUCAAACAUUACUUACCACUCCACUGAACUGUAAAUCAUCAUAUCUUCUCUCUUAAAAAUCCAAGAGUUAAGACAAACCGUAGAUUAAUUCGUGUAUAUGUAAGUGUUCAAUUUUUGAAAAAAAAAAUGUUGAAAAGAAACAAACAAACGGUUGAGUAAAAAUAAAACAGAUAAAAGGGUACUGAUAAUUUUAAUCUGGAAUAUAUGACUAUUCAAACAUAGCAAAACCAGAUUUUAGAACAUUAUCGACCAACCUACUCAUAUCUCUCUCUUGAACUGUAAGUAAGAUUAUUUUAAUUGCCAAAUGCUAAGUUGUCAAGUUAUUAUUAUUAAUAUUAUCCAACAUCACAAAACCCAAUCUCAUAACGGUAGUUUGCACGUUUCAUUCAUCAAUUGAUUCCAUAGUUUUGUGUUACAAGACGACAUUGAUCAGUUGCUAAACCCUAUGCAACGAGCAAAAUUAACUACUAUUAACUACUCCUAUUUUAAUUUUAAUCCUAUGAAAUUCACCAAAGGGACAUAUCUAUAGGCAAAUCAAAUAAAGGUCAAUUUAAGUCAGAAUUGUACUUUGAUUCAAAAAAAUAAAUAACGUAGUCAGAAUAGUACUACUACUAGUAGUAGGUUUAUUUUGCAAAAUAGGACCACAUGCAUGCAACUGGGUUUCAGACCCUACUAAUAACAAAACAUCAAACACAUUAAUUAUGUUGAAUUUAGCAAGAGAAAAAGAAUCUUACAUAAUUUUGUGUGCAAAUAAAAUUACAACAAUUAAUCAUUAUAAUUUUGAUUUUUGAAUGUUUGAUUCUCUGUGUGUAUCUCAUUUUUUAAAUCGAGCACAAAUAUUUAAAGUAUUUUUUUUUUAGAAAAAUUUGUUCAUUUGAUACUGAAGUAACUGCUUCUUGAUACUAUAUAAGACAAAACCGAUAUUUAGUGUACAAAAUAUAUGCAUUGGACAAAUAUAGCCGUUUGGGAAGUGUUUAAAAAAAAAUUCUAUGGCCAAAUAAAGAAACGUGAUUGUUUUGGUUUGAAGGUGGAGAGAGUUCAAAGUGAUUUUGCUAUGUUUGAAUUAAUGUUUUUGUUGAUUGUAAUUGAUUUUGACUUACAUUUACUUCUAGCUCUUUUUUGACUACUACAUCUAACUUAAAAGUUAUAAUUUAAAGUUUUCGAUUCCAAACAUAAUUUUUAGUCUCAUAAAUUUCUCAACUCAUUAAUUUAUACUUGAAAAUAUUUAAACAUAAGUUUAAAAGGGAUACACUAUCGGUGUUAAUCAACUCUGCAACCAAUGAGAAUCCACAAUUUGUUUUACAAAAAUAAACGAUAUUAAUUCAUUCAUGUUGAUAGAAUACGUCGAUACAACACAUAUUCAAAGUUGUUAAAAACAAAAAGAAUGAACUUGCGAACAAACUCACAGCAUCCAUGUUAAUAACAUAAAACGGCAAUGUAACUACGCCAACAAAUAUGACUAUAUAUAUUUAAGUCUCUGGAAUAUUCAUGUAUCUGGAUCUACAACUUUGAUGGCGCCAAAGUCAUUGAUUGGAUCUGCACCUGCUCAAUGACGGAAAAUAAAAACACAUUACAUAAAGACGAGAAAUAAAAAAACAAACAUGGUCGUGUUAAGACGACGAAAUCACCAUAACAAACAAAAACAUAAAAUAAAAAUAUGUAAAAAUCACUUAUUUAAUUAAAAAAUAAGAAAAUCAAUUCGAAUGAAUGAUUUUAAAUCAAAAUUAACCAUAAAUCAUUCUUCUUUAAUAGAUAAGAAGAAGAAAGGUGGUGAUGGCUAUAAAAAGAAGAGAAGGGAGAACAAAAUAUAUGUUUCCUGCUUUUUAGAGAUUCCACAAUUUUUACAUGUCAUCCUACUCUAGUAUGUUAAUCUUAUCUUACAAUAAAUGCAAUAAAGUGCAAAAUAAAAGACACUCAUUAGAUGUCGCUAGUGUUAAUUUUUUAAUCUAAGAACUUGAUUUUAUAUUUCUCCAAUGAGCAAAAUAUAAGCACAGUUCGUAAAAAGACUCUUUGGAAAAACACUUUUCCUGGUGUUAAUAUAUAUAUUUUGCAUAUUUCAAGAUAUGCAAAUUUGAUCUUCGUAAAAUAUAAGCACAUUCCAACAAAAUUUCAAGAUAAGAAAAACUCGAAUAAUUAUUUUUAAAACUAAUCUUAAAAUCUGCAUAUUUCUUUCAAAAACAUUUCUUAGAUAUAGUUUUAUAUAUACUUUUCUCCAUCAAAAGCUGCAAUGUUAAUCUCAUUAUUGCACUUUUUCCGGGCAUUGUUGACAACAUUAUAUCUCACAUGUUAAUCUCAUUAUUGAGAAGUCACAUGGCUUGAAAAUUCUUAAAGAAAAUUAAAGGAAAAAUGGAAUAAAAGAUGAACCAAAAUGGUGAUGAACUUCCACUAUUGGCAUAGUAAUAACUCCUCAUUCUGUCUUCUUCCCCCCACAUAUUGCCCACACCAGUUCAUACAUUAUAUACAUUUACAUAAUUAAGUUGUAUAAUUAAGGGUAUCAUGUUUUUAAUAUUGAUUUUGGUUAGAUAUUUGUACCAUAUUCUAUAAUUCAUGCUCAUAACCCCACAAAUACGUGGACAUGUAGUAGGAAAUACAAAGCUAAAUUUGGAUUAUUCUUUAUCACAAACUACCAAAAGGUUAUGUUCAAAAACAUCAUAAAAGAAAUGAUUAAAAAUCAAAUAUAUAUCUUCAUUCUUAAACCUCAAAAAGAAAAAGAAUCAAUUAGUGGAACAAAAUCUCACAAUGUUACAAUAGCUACAAUCAAAGGAUUUGAAGAAAUAUCAUAAACCACUUUGGAUCCAUAAUGCAUAAUACUCAAAAUACAAUAUAUAUUCACUUUCCAUUCCCUCUAAAAACAACUUGAAAUUAAAAUGAAAAUAAAUGCAAAAAGCAUUUUGGAGUUACUUUUGUCAAAUGAGGCAACUCAGCUAGGGCUGCUAAGAGGAAAUGACAUAGGAAUAGGACACAACAUUUUACCCUACCCAUCUCUUCUAAUCAUUCAAAAUUUGUCAAGAUGCUUCUAACCAUUUUGCGUAUAUUUUAAUUAGUGGUUGAAGAUUGAAACAGUGACUGAUUCUAACUAUUUGGAGUAAAACAAAGUAAUGGGAGAGAAGUGGCCAGCUGGGAAACAUAAUAUAAUGCAAUUACAUCAAAAUGAAACCAAUUGAAUAUUUGAAUUGGUCCUUCAUGAUGGCUACCCUUUAACAAUUCAAUCACAUUAUAAAUACUUAGUCUCUCAUUUAGCUUUUCACAAUAAUCACUUACACCAAAACAUCUUCUUUUCUUCCAAACUUUUCUUCUACUUCUAAGAAUAUUAGGGAGGUUAAGUAAUAACAUAAGCAUUGGAGGUGCCAAGUUUUUUCUUUCUACCCAUGACUGUUAAGGCCAGUAGCCCCAAAAGGGGUCAUAACUGGCCACCAAUGGCAAUGGCAUUGGCCAUUGUUUUGAUUUCAACUAGUGUGGUUUCUGCUGCUGCAGAUAGUUAUAUUUACUCUUCUCCUCCACCACCUUACGAGUAUAAGUCGCCACCGCCACCAUCACCUUCACCACCACCUCCUUAUGUUUACAAAUCGCCACCUCCUCCAUCCCCAUCACCUCCACCACCUUAUGAGCACAAGGCUCCUGCUUAUGAGUACAAGUCACCACCACCACCAACUCCUUCACCACCACCUCCUUAUGUGUACAAGUCACCACCACCGCCAUCUCCUUCACCACCACCUCCUUAUGUGUACAAGUCACCACCACCACCCUCACCUUCCCCACCACCACCAUACUACUACAAGAGUCCUCCACCACCUUCUCCUUCACCUCCACCUCCUUACUACUACAAAUCUCCUCCACCACCCUCACCUUCCCCACCACCACCAUACUAUUACAAGUCUCCUCCACCACCAUCUCCCUCACCUCCACCACCAUAUUACUACAAGUCUCCCCCACCACCCUCACCCUCCCCUCCACCCCCAUAUAUACACAAGGAUCCACCAUACUAUUACAAGUCCCCACCACCACCUUCACCAUCUCCUCCACCACCAUACUACUACAAAUCUCCCCCACCCCCUUCACCGUCUCCUCCACCACCAUACUACUACAAAUCUCCUCCUCCUCCAUCUCCUAUUCCCAAAACACCUUACUACUACAAAUCUCCCCCACCCCCUUCACCAUCUCCUCCACCACCAUACUACUACAAAUCUCCCCCACCCCCUUCACCGUCUCCUCCACCACCAUACUACUAUAAAUCUCCCCCACCACCGUCACCCUCUCCACCACCACCUUACUAUUACAAGUCUCCUCCCCCACCUUCACCAUCUCCUCCACCACCAUACUACUACAAAUCUCCUCCUCCUCCAUCUCCUAUUCCCCAUACACCUUACUAUUACAAAUCUCCCCCACCACCUUCACCAUCUCCUCCACCACCAUACUACUACAAAUCUCCUCCUCCUCCAUCUCCUAUUCCCCGUACACCUUACUAUUACAAAUCUCCCCCACCACCUUCACCAUCUCCUCCACCACCAUACUACUACAAAUCCCCUCCUCAUCCAUCUCCCAUUCCCCAUACACCUUACUAUUACACAUCUCCCCCACCACCUUCACCGUCUCCUCCACCACCAUAUUACUACAAAUCUCCUCCCCCUCCGUCUCCUAUUCCCCACACACCUUACUACUACAAGUCCCCACCACCACCAAAGGUCCUUCCACCACCAUACUAUUACAAUUCUCCUCCUCCACCUGUUGUGUAUCCUCACCCAUAUCCCUACCACCACUCACUUAUUGUGAGGGUAGUCGGUAAAGUCUACAGCUUCAGAUGUUAUGAUUGGAAUUAUCCUGCAAAGUCUCAUAACAAGAAACAUCUCAAAGGUACAUUACAUUUCUUAGGACCGGACCUCUUUAGAGUAAUGUGUUUAGAGAUAAUGCACAAUUUUUUAUUUUUUUAUCUCGUAAAGGUUUAUUUAUUAUAAUCACAAUUUCACUUUUGUCAAAAAGAAAAACAAUUUUACUAUAUAUAGUUUUAAUCAUUAACAUUUUGAUGUAAAAAGAAUACAAUUCUCUAUUACCUUUUUACUAUGAUAUAUAUACAAAGAUUAUUCAAAUCUAUAUAUCCAACCUAAUUUCCAUCCAAAAAAAUAGAAAACAUAGGGUGCUUUGAACGCCUGCAGCAUCACAUGAAUAAAUAAAAACAAUCAAUAAUCAACCUUGUUCUAAUUUAUUUUAGACAGCGAUUGUUAAGCAUACUGCUCUUUUAAUUACAUUUUUUUUAAAGAUGCUCUUUUAAUUAUAUUGUCCUAAUAUAAUAUGUGUCUUUAUAUAUUACUUGUCGUAAACUAAUUUUAUUAUGGGUGCAGGAGCUGUUGUUGAGGUGACAUGCAAAGCCGGGAGCAAAAUUGUCAAGGCUUAUGGAAAAACUAAGAACAAUGGAAAGUAUGCCAUCACAGUUAAGGACUUUGACUAUGUCAAAUAUGGUUCGACAGUGUGCAAGGCUGCCCUAUAUGCUCCACCUAAGGGUUCACCCUUCAACAUACCUACAAAGCUAAAUCAAGGAACAAAGUUGUACUUGAAAUCCAAAGACAAGUACGAGGUUGUGCUCAAGGCUAAGCCAUUUGCUUAUGCUUCAAAGAAACAUUUCAAAGAAUGUGAGAAGCCUAAGCCUUCACCAACUCCUUACUACUACAAAUCACCUCCACCUCCCUCACCAGUUUACAAAUACAACUCACCACCUCCACCGGUCCAUUAUUAUUCACCUCCAUACACCUACAAGUCACCUCCUCCCCCUGUGAAAGCGGCACCAACUCCUUACUACUACAAAUCACCUCCACCACCCGCACCGGUUUACAAGUACAACUCACCCCCUCCACCGGUCCAUUAUUAUUCACCACCAUAUACCUAUAAGUCACCUCCUCCCCCUGUGAAAGCGGCACCAACUCCUUACUACUACAAAUCACCUCCACCUCCCGCACCGGUUUACAAGUACAACUCCCCACCUCCACCGGUCCAUUAUUAUUCACCUCCAUAUACCUACAAGUCACCUCCUCCCCCUGUGAAAGUGGCACCAACUCCUUACUACUACAAAUCACCUCCACCACCCGCACCGGUUUACAAGUACAACUCACCACCUCCACCGGUCCAUUAUUAUUCUCCACCAUACUACUACAAGUCACCACCCCCACCAUCUCCAUCACCUCCUCCACCAUACUAUUUCAAAUACUAUUACAAGUCCCCACCUCCACCAUCACCAUCCCCUCCUCCACCUUAUUAUUACAAAUCUCCUCCUCCACCAAAACAAAUUUCACACCCUCCAUACUACUAUAAGUCACCACCCCCACCAUCACCAUCACCUCCUCCACCAUACUAUUAUAAGUCUCCACCUCCACCAUCACCAUCUCCCCCACCACCUUAUUAUUAUAAGUCACCACCCCCACCAUCCCCGUCCCCUCCUCCACCAUACUACUACAAGUCUCCACCUCCACCUAAAGAAAUAUCACAUCCUCCAUAUAACUAUAAGUCACCACCCCCACCAUCACCAUCCCCUCCCCCUCCAUACUAUUACAAAUCUCCUCCACCACCAUCACCAUCACCACCACCUCCCUACUAUUACAAAUCACCUCCACCACCAUCACCAUCACCUCCCCCUCCAUACUAUUACAAAUCUCCUCCACCACCAUCACCAUCACCACCACCUCCUUACUAUUACAAAUCACCUCCACCACCAUCCCCAUCACCACCACCUCCAUACUACUACAAAAGUCCCCCUCCACCAUCUCCAUCUCCUCCAUCCCCAUAUUACUACAAAUCUCCACCACCACCAUCACCAUCCCCACCCCCUCCCUACUAUUACAAAUCACCUCCACCUCCCUCACCAUCACCGCCACCUCCUUACUAUUACAAAUCACCUCCACCUCCCUCACCAUCACCGCCACCUCCUUACUAUUACAAAUCUCCCCCACCUCCAUCUCCAUCUCCACCACCUCCUUACCACUAUCAAAGUCCUCCUCCACCAUCUCCCAUUUCUCAUCCUCCCUACUACUACAAAUCCCCUCCACCACCAUCGCCGUCUCCUCCACCUCCUUACCACUAUGUGAGUCCUCCCCCACCAGUAAAGUCACCUCCACCACCAACUUAUAUCUAUGCUUCACCACCACCACCUCACUACAACUAAGCUCAAAGAGCAGAAGCUCCGUUCAUUAUAAAUCAUGUAAGUUUAUCAUCUUCAAUUUUCUGAAUGUGUGCGUGUGUAUUUGUUUUUUUGUUACAAGAUACUAACAAAAUUCUUUUCUUAUUUAUGUUCAGGUUUUAGUUUUCAUCUAGGAAUAAAGGCAAGCUCC
rnacentral:lncRNA from 1 species